rnacentral:lncRNA from 1 species
CCCCUCUGCGUCGCUUUGUCGGAGGUCCAUAAUCUGCACUGUGCUUUCCCAACUCUGCGCCAGGUUUCCUCUUUGCACCUCGAUCUCUUUCUAGCAUCCUUCUAUCAUUUCUUUUAGCCCUGUAGUCCUCUAAAUAAUCAUCUCCUAUUUCAGGUUUUUUCUUCUUCUUUGCUUUUUGGAGGAGUUCUUCCUCUCUCGCUUUUCUGAUGGAUUCUUCAUACCUCCUAAGUUCAGCAAACCUUUCCCGCUCUUCCACAAACCUCCUUUCUUCCUCAUAAAUCCUCCUUGCCCUUUCUUCUUUGAUCCUCUCAGCAUUUCUUCUCUUCUCUUCCUCUUCCCACCAAUUCCUCUCAUCUCUCACUUUCCUUUUUGCUGAAUCAUUAGUCAAUAAAGGGAUCUGCUUUUCGCGCUUCUCGAAACUUGACAAUUCAACUAUUUUCUAAGUUUUUCUAUACUCAUGUGGGGACCCAUCCUGACUAACCCUGUCCAGAUCAAUAAUAUCUUUCGGCCGUUUGAUUAUGAUUUUCUUUUGAGGUGGCUCUCUCUCUUUAUCAGCAGGUGGACGUAUGACAAUAGAGGGUUUAUGAGAUUCAACUAGUUCUCUAUCUGUAGUUGUUACGGGCCUAAUAAGAAUGGAGGGCUUAUGAGAUUCAACUUGUUCUCUAUCUGUAUUUGCUGGGGGUCUUAUAAUAAUAGAGGGCUUAUGAGAUUCAGCUUGGCUUUUAUCUACUGUAUCUACUGGAGGCCGUAUUACAAUAGAGGGUUUAUGAGACUCUACCUGUGUUUCUUCAGGUCUUGGCUUGUUAGAAAUUACUAUUCUAUUAACCUUACCAACGGACUUAUUCGCAGUUUCAACAACAUCAGAAGUACUCAGUUGGUCGGAACUUUGUGUAGAUGCAACAGGAAAUUUAUCAGGAAGCUUAUCAGCUGAGCUGCACUUGAAUUUUACUGGAACCACUUUCGUCUUCAAACUGGAUUUUUCUCCUUCAGGAGCUUCGAUCAAAGCAAUUUUUGUUGCACUUUUAGAUAUGAGCUUCUUUUUCUUCAGACUUUUCAGCUGGGACUGACUUGAAGGGUCCAGAGAGUUAGAUUUCCCCAGGAUUUAUCCAUAUCUGCAGUUUCAAGCUGCGUUUCUGGCUCUGCUCUAUAUCUGGGGCAGUUUUUGUUGGUCCUCAUGUGUCCAUGCUGGUCAAUAAGGAAAAAAAUCACUGUAAAAAUAUAUCCUUAAAUAACACACAGAAGCUAUGUUAACUUCGAAUAUUCCGCACCUGACCACAAGCUCCACAAACAAAAGUCCCCCUUGAUGACUUUUUCUCCUUGAACAUCUGGUUUAAAACCAAAAAAAUCAUAUGUUAUGAUAAUCUUCACAGGAAGCAUGUAUGUGUGCGUGCGCGUGUCUCUCUCUCUCUCUCUCUCUAUAGAUAUAUAUAUAUCAAAGCACAGGCUAUAUGGGGAAAGCAACACUGCAGAUCCAUGGUACACUGCCUCUGAAAUUAUUAGUAGCUAGAGAAAACAAGGUGAAUAUUAAAGUAAAAAAGUACUUCAUACAUUUAUACAAAUAAAGGACACGAUAACCAAAAAAUUCAUAGAUAAUAUUAAGAUGCACAAAAUUCAACUGAACUUAGUUUUAGUAACAAAUGUAAAGAUAUGACCUUAUUAAUCAAUUAAUCAGAGUAUGCAUUCAAAAUAUUUCCUUUAAAUAGGGAGCAUAUUAUAUAUUAAAAUUUAAGAAGCAAAAAUAGUAGAGUCUGCUCAUUCUUCUCCAUCAGAUCAAGGCAUGACUGGACAGUACAAAUAUGAUUGAGAGAGGGGGAAAAAAAAAAAAUUCCUAAAAAUCUCUUAACGAUGCAGUUCUUACACCAUCUACUAACAAUCUGCCAUGUGAAGUUAUAAUGUAUGCGUGUUUGUUUGCAAGAGUGAGAUUGGUCUUAUCUAAACAGCAAUGGAAUUCUAAUAUCGACACAUUCCUUUUACAGUCAAUUUUUCAGAUAUCCACAGAUCCUAGAAUCAAGGGGAAAAUGUUCCACGGUGAUAGUGUGAUUUGAAGAAUCCCAAUGCCACCACAUGACUUCUGAUUCACUGGCCAAGAAAAAAUAUUUCAUCUGACACUUGUCGAUAAUCAGUAGAUCAUGGGAUGUGAUCUCUAAAUUUCAAGUCAUAUAAUUAGCCAUCAAUUCAGAAUACUAUCAUAUAUAAUAGCUGUCCAUAAGGAUUUACACUGGAUGUACUAAAGCAUGAUUACGACAAUACGGAAAUCCAGAAAUAAAUCUAUAUGCCCUAUGGUUGUGAACAACAGGGAGGAACCAACUAGAAUAAUGAUAUGAUGCAAAAAUUAAAACUUGCUUCUAUACUCAUUUUUGUUAUUGCUAGAAAGGAUCCUCCCAACAAUCACACUUCCGAACUAAUUAUCGAGUCAUCUUUGAUCUUGCAUAUAUAUUUCUUGUAUCACCAGCCAGAUCCUCUCAACAGUCACUUUUUCAAACAAUUAUUCAGUGAACGAUUGGGGAUUUCACAAUUCUUAAUAUAAAGGAUAAUCUACCAAAUGAAAUAAGAGAAAAUGAUACAUAUGGCGAUAUCUACCACUAUCUUGACUUUUUUGCCCACUGGCGAUAUACCAUUCUUUUUCAUUGCUUGCACCGUUCCAGACAGGUUUCUUUUAGCAAUUAGACUCUCCUCCUGUUACCACACAUAAUAGAGUCAAUAGCAUCUUCAAAUCAAAGAGAAACUGACAACCUAAAGCCACUUACCUCCUUUGGAUCUUUAAUCUGCUCAUUUGCAGCGUGGGAUCCAUUUGGUUGGACUGUAAUUGCAAUAUGCUUAGCUGGCUUAUUUGCCUUCUUAAGCCGUUCAACGAUCUCAAGACCAGAAAUUGAUUGGGCAAGAGAUAAUCCUCCUUCCACUGGAGCUUUUGUUUUCUUUUUCUUUUUCUUCAGCUUGGCCUCAUCAUCUGCAAAACAUGGUAUGGUUGGCCACAUCAUUAAGUGUUAAUAUAUCAUUUUGGAAUACAACGAACAAAACAGAGAUAUACAAUAAUCACAUAAUUGUCCACUAAGGCAACGGUUUCAAUUCCAUUCGAGGAGCUUUGCUUAGCACAGUUAAACAGACAGUCCAAAUUUUUUGAAAGAAUCCAUAAGCUCCACAAAUUUCAUCAUCUGUAUUAACUGUGGGCCAUCAAAAACUAGAAAAAUCCAAAACUAGAAAAAUCCAUUUCAUAAGAGGACUGCAUUUGUCAUAUGUUAUUGGUUAGCAGAUGUAUAAAUACAGCUAAUGCUCAAAAACUGCAAUCUUAUGUUACUUUAUAUAUAGAGUAUGUAUCAAAUAAUCAGGUAUAAACUGGUAAUCUUUUUACAUUUUAAAACCGAUAUAGAUUAUUUAUCAUGAAUUAAUAGACAAUGGAAGAAUUAUCAGUAAGCAUAAUAUGUUGAUAUUUUCCGACUACUAAGAUUUCUCCAACAAUCCUAACAUAUAAAGAAGAUUUUGGAAUUGCACAACAAAAAGAUUACUGACAUCAACCUAUUUAAGAUCUAUCCAUAUACAUACUUCAAAAAAUAAUAUUAAAAACAAAACAAAACAAACAUCCCUAAUCUGUAAUGAGUCUACAGUAUAACCGACAAAUGCUUACAUUUAAUUCUUCAGAGAAAAUUAAAAUAAGCAGUUAGAAAACAAAUAAUCCAUACCAUCCAUGAGUAGCCUGCAUAAUUCAGCCACUUCAGCUGCGUCAUCUUCAAUUUCCUCUUCUGCCUGUACUUGGAUAGGACACCUUCUCAUUUUAAGACCCUUAACACCUUCCACUUUGUCAUGCUUUGUAUCAUAAUUACUCUCUUCCUCUUCAAAUUCCUCAGCAUCAAGCAAAUUUUCUAGAUCUCCAGCAAAUGAAUCCAGAUCACUGUGCUCAGAGUCACUUCCAAUUUCAUCGUCAUCAGCAGCUGAAAGAGACUGAACUUGUCUAUCCCAAAUCUCCUAACACUUUCCUCUGGUCUGCUGUUGCAGCUGAAGAAAUGGCAUUCGCUGGCCACGUGCAUACUUGCUAAUAGUUGUUGGAUCAACCUGGACAGCUGAUGCUGCUUGCUCACUUGAAAGCUUGCGUAUCAUAGCAAUACGAUGCCAUCUUGUCUGCUUUGCAAUCAUUUCCUCAGGCACAUUGAACUUAAGAAGAACCUAGUGAUAAAAAACGAUAAUGCUAUUACAUUGUUCUAAAUAUAUAGAGUUAUAAAUUUUAGGUUAUUUAUUAGAAAACACGGGAUUAAGUUUCCUACAGUAGGAAAUAAGUGAAAACAAUGAUGAUUUUUUUUUUGGGGGCAGGGGACAGAAAAUUGUGGACCCAUUCAGAUAAAAGUAGAAAAUUUCACUUUUUUCAUUCAAACUCACAUCAUAAGCUGUAGAAAAGAAGUAAAAAAGAUAAAAAUAAAAAACCUAAAUGACUGCAAUAAAUUGAAUUCGGACUUCAGAUAAACAUACAACCCGUAAAGGAUGAAGAGAUCUUUGUUUCAAUCUUCAGAAGUCCCCAAUUUCAUUAGUUUUAGUUAGUGCUCUGACAUAAGAAAAAUACCUGUCACUUUCCUACACGAUUACGGGAUUUAUUAGAGACAGAACUACCAUUAUUGUUCCCUCACCUAUCAACUUAGGUUUUGGGAUUAAUAGUUCCUCAAAAGAAACAAAGUCAAGAGGUUACGUUGACAUGAUUUUACCAAUCCUAUGCAAUCCCAACUUCUGACACUCCAUCUGAUUGAUCAGCUCAAUAUAACUUAAGAGAGGUCAUUGAUUAAGUCCUCAGAUAUCCUAUAGAUUAUCUACAAAAUUUAAUCAAUUCCAACCAAAUGAAAUUCUAAGGCAUGCAGCCUCUUGUUUCUUGAGGCCAGGCCAAGAGGGCAACAGAUGACCCCAAAUAUCAUAUAAUUUUUGCUGGUAUCCACACUAUACCUCCAAAUAUCAUAUAAUUUUCCUGCUAAUAUUUGGACAAGAAAAGUUCAAGAAACUAAUCGACUGUCAAGUAAAAUGCCGAUAAUUGUUUCUAAGUUAAAAGAUGUGCUUCAUCUUAAGCAUCUUAAGCUCAAAAACAGAGAUUAAUGGAGCUAUUAAAAUCCCAAUUUGUCACCUCUCUUGCAGCCUCCAUGCUCAGUCUACGAAGAUCAGCAUCUGUUCCAGUAACAGUGGAACCUCCUCGAUUAGCAGCUACUUUUUUCUUCACCAUUGCACUUGACACUGAAGCUUUAGGAGCAGCACGGACAUAACUAAAUCCUAGGCCCCGACCGGAUGGAUCACCAACACCAGUUAUUUCCAAACGCUCAAUGUUUUCCCUGUCCUGAACUUAAAUAGAUGGAGAAUAUAGAGUAAACAAUACAAAAAUAUAAAUGCAAAAGAGAAAAGGAAAAACAGGAAGUGGUGUUUGUUGAGUGUAAUGCCCCAAAAACCAUCCAUAAUAUGAAUGAUAAAGUAAAUAAUUACCCCCCUCCCCCCCAAAAAAAAAAGGGUUGAACAGCCCCAGUGAAACUGAAUGGGAUACCACACCCAGAAUUGAAUAAUUAAAGAUUGGCAAAUAGCUCCAGCACAAAGCAGAAAUAUUUUCUCAACAAACAGGUCUAUAAUGAAAUAUACAACAAGAUUCAAUACCUCCCAUGCAUUUUUCCCCCCUGCUUCAAAAGAAGGAAAUCUUUCAUGCUAUAAAUCUCCAAAUUUCAUCAAAUUUCACACUAUCCCACUAUUUAACCAAACACUAAGAAAACAUUACAAGGAGCCAUUAUAACUGGAUGCUUGCCAGUAUAGUUAAAUAAAUUGAUGCUUUCCCAAUGAGAGAAAGUCGUGCAUAGUACCUAACUUAAACACAAUUAAGAGCAUGAAAUGAAUAAGAGGAACAGAAGGAAAUCAAUGGAUCAAAAGUAAAUCUUAAGGACUCUAAUUGGCAAGUUUACCCAAAUUAGUUAAUAUUCAAAAUGAUGCAGCUGCAGAAACAUAAACCAAUCUCAGUUCUGUCCACUCCCACUUUAAUAUUUACUGCCUACUUUUAUGCUAUAUCCAUUUAUUUGCGGUAUUCAAAAUAUCUUCAACUUUGUAAUUAAUCUUUUACUUGAUGUGCUCAAGUUAACUCAGAAAUAGAUGCACGUUCCCCUUAUUUAAAUUUGUCUCAUCCUGCAAACUAAAUUACUAGCACUCUAGCAGUGACUAAAAAAUCCUCGCUAUCUUUAUAAAAUUUCAUGGGACUUAGCAAUACAGGGAUGGACCAGUGCAAUAACUAACCUGUUGCCCAACAACAGCAACCUUAUCAAUCCGUCUAAUGGAAAUUUUUCCCUUUGCAGAUCGGACCAACAAAAAAUCAGUUGUUGCCACCUUAUGGGGAAAAACAGGAGCCCCAUACAUGUUUGUUUCAAGAGAGGACUGACUGCAACCAGCUUUUAUGUCUCCGAGGAAAGGGGACUUAUCACCAGGCUCUAGUGUCAGGACAUUCCCCAGGCAGUUGUUUCCACCACACAGCAGAGCGCCGGCUUGAUCCCCUGGGGAAGACUUUUGAUAAUAAGUACAUAGGUUUGCACCCAUUCCAACAUUGCUCAACAGCAGAGGUCUUUCCUCACAAUACCUGCCAAAAUAAAGAGUAAUGGUAAUCUCAAACUUUCUUUAUUCUCAAACUUUCUUUAUUUAUAUACAAAUGAAAUUUAUUACCAUUCAGAACCCAAGGCAAAAGCAAAGCUUGUUGGUUUGUUGGUGGUAUCACAUCAUCAAUCCUAGCAAUACUUCGAAUAUUUACUUCCCAACUUACUUUUUUUUUUAUUUACACACUAUGAUGAAAAAUAUGAAUACUAGCAGGUAUUCAUAGCGAACCAGCAGUACACUAAAAGCACAUAAAAUAAAAUAAUAAUCUAUUUAAUUUCUAUUUUAAUUGAUCUAGCACAGCAUUAAGCAUUUGACAUAAAUAAAUAAUAAUAGCAAAAAGAAAAGAGAAGUAAGAUUAAGGAACUGUGCUGUUAAGUCUUCAGACAAAGAUAGUAAAAGCAAAAUGGCUCAUUAAUUAUUCCAAAACUCAAUUAAUGACAUUUCUUGUUCAAAAACUCAGUUAACGGCAUUUAUAUUUUCUAAUUAACAAGUCAUCCAAGUUUAGAAAUAUCAGCAGUUAAGUAGUGCCAAUUAUUAUCAUACAUGCUUAACGAACUACGUUUAUUUAUAAAGAAAUCUCUGAUGGUGAUGGACUCACUUCAUGUGCCUCUCAUAGCAACUACUACAGCAAAAACCUAUCCACCAAGGCUUGACUGCAAUGCUCUCCCAAUUAAGGAACUUUGCUCCUAAGUUUUACUGACUACAAAAAAUGUAUACUUUUAUUCUCGUUGAUUUGAUUAGAAUAGAUUUCAAUUUCAGAACAUAUUUGAAGUCCACAUAAAUUCUGUUAGUAUGACCAUCCGAUAAUAUCAAUCCAUCUGUGCAGUGAUCUUCUAUGCAUGACACACAAUAAAAGUCCAAGUGAAUAUAAUGAAAGACAAUAAAAUGGGAUAUAAACAGAGAAAAGAGAAAAGUACUUACUCCAUUAGAAAUACAUGACCAUCUUUCACAGAAAGAUCUGAUUUCUUCUUAAAUGCACCGGGAGGGCGUAAAGAUUUAUUCUCCCCAGGAAGCUUUGUGCCCUUGGCAAAAAAUGUAUUUUUGCGCGUAUAAGAUGAAUCAGGGAAUUUGGGCGAACAUUUUGGUCAGCAAGAGAUUUAUGGUCUUCAAGCUCCUUCCCCAAGUAAAAUAGUUUAACAGAUUCUGCAGGCUUGAAAUCUACAAGAACAAAAGAACAAAUUAAGAUGUUAUCCUUCUUAACAAAUUCUGAAGUCUUAAACCUUAAAAUCAUCAAUGACACCAAACAUUUAUUGAUAAGAACUACACAUAUAGAGUGAUAAAUGUCAGUCAAAGAAAAAUGACAACCUAGCUUCUUCGAAGCCUUUGCUUUGAUGGAAUAGACUGUUUCCUCAGUGUCCACAUGCAGUUUACUUCCUUUGCCCCCUAAGCUCUUUACUAUAACUUUCAUGGGUCCUUGUGUUGGCAGCUUUCCUUGUUCUUUGACAGCCAUCUCACUGUCAUGUGGAUACCAUAGAGCUUUUGGGCCGGUGAAAAUUAGCUAUAUCUUUACUGAAAACAGUGGGUAAAAAACAAUUGCAUAAGAUGAAAUGCGGUAACGAAGUGAUUCAGUUGCAUAAGCAACUUGGGAAAUCAUACAGAACAGAUAUAAAAGAAAAAAAAAAUAUUACUAACAGUAGGUGCCUGUCUACAGGUUUAGGAAACCUGGUUAAUUUUGCAUCAAUCACUAGCCAUUAACUCUCGAAUUCUGUAUUCUCAAUAAAUUGAAGAAAUCGUUAUAGAAUACAGACUGAAAUCAAGCAGAAGCCCAAUUCUUAGUUAAAGGUGAUAUAUUAGCACUUGGAUCUUGCUUCCAUAUAAGGGACAUUUGCGGGGAGAGAGCAAAUGACAGGACACAAUUUUGGAAGCCUCUGUUCAUUCUUUCAGUGUGGUUUAACAAUACUCUCUAAUGAAUUAAAAUAAAUAAAUAAAAUAAAAUAAAUUGAUAUUAGCGACUUUUGAGGAGACAAAGAGAGAGAGCAAAUGACAGGAAACAAAUUUUGAAGCUUCUUUUCAUUCUUUCAGAGUGGUUUAACAAUACUCUCAAAUGAAUUAAAAUAAAUAAAUAAAAUAAAAUAAAUUGGUAAAUGGAUAAAACUUGUUUAGUGGGCUCGUUUUUUAGGAAAAUACUACAGUAACAAGAAAUGAAAUGAAUCAUUUCCAUUCUUAGAGUUUGUGAAGGAAAUCAGAAAACGACAUAUUGGCAUUCUCAAAUUUUUGUUCUCUGCCAAGGGUCACACCAAUUUGACUUUGUAUGAUCAUUGCAAUAAAUUUUGUGGGUCCUACAAUAAAGAUGUCUUAUUUCCAUUAUUAUAAUAUAUAAGAAUAUGAACAAAUGUGAAUAUAAUUAUAAAUUGAUUCAUAUUAUCUUAAAUAUUAUUAUGUUAUAAAUACAACACAAUAAAAAAUACAUUACUAUUUUAAAAAAUACAAAAUUAACUUUUUUGGAAUAUUUGUAAAAACUUAAAAAGUAAUGCACAAAAAAUAUAAUUAUCUAACUAAAUAAAUUUUUAGUGACAUAAUAUAUUUAUUAUAUUACAUUAUGAUAUUAUAUAGAAACUUUCAUAUUUAUCUACUAAAGUAAUAAAAGACAAUUUAAAAAAAUGACACUUUAUGACAAUUAACUCACCCCAAAAAAAAAAAUCAACUAUAAAAAAAUCAUUAAAUAAUGAGUAAUCCUUUACCCUCUCUCACUGUUCCAACUUUUUCAGACAAACAACCAAACAUCUUUUCAUUGUUUUCAUUUUCAUAUGCUAUUUUUAAAAUAAGUUACCAAACACGUUUUUAUUUUUAAAAGUAUCGCAUCAAAAACACAAUUUUUCUUCUCUAAACAAAUAUAAAAAACAUCAAUUGGAAAACAAUACCAAACACACCCUUAGACAUUCUUAAGAAACGAUGUACAUGGCACAAACAGAAUUACUAACAGAGAUCUGAAAAACUUACAAGUGACAGUGCAGACAACAUAGUUAUUAGAAUGCUUAACUUUCCUUCUCAAAAAAAAAAAAAAAAAAAAAAAAAAGAAGAGAAACACUGCAGACAACAUGGAAUGGAUCCUUACUUGCUUAACUUCAGUUCCAUUGUCUGAAGCUUAAGUGCAGGUGCAAAAUGAUGAGCUCUGAUACCAUGAGCAGUUCGUUUGUUAGAAUUUGAUUGCAGGUGCUGGGAUAUUUUCCCAUUCAUAUAGAACUUGUCAUUAGCAAUAUUGAAUUUCCAGUCAGACUCAUAUUUUUGACCCGGCGGCUCAGUAAAAUCCCCACCACUUGGCUUUGCAGAUCAAGUUAUGAUCAUAGCCCCUGCAUGAAGCAGGGGAUGUUCAACAUGCUUGUUAUCCAGAAUUUCAAAGAGUAUCUGCUCAUCUUGAAGAUCAAGAAUCAGCUUAGGCUUUCCUACAGCAUCCACUGGCUCCCAUAUAAUAUUGUCUAACCAAGAUCCUUCCAUCAUAUCUCUGUUCUGCAAUGAAUGUUUGCUAAGGCGUUUUACAGCAUCGCUUUGGCAGAGCUUCAUUGAAACAUUCUCUUUUAUACCAUUUGCAUGAUUAUGAUUAUCCAGAUCCAGCUGAGAUUCUAACCUCAAAAGCUGAGGAUGGUAUCUGCUUUCUGUGAACAGAUGACUUGUAUUAUCUGAAGAACUUUUAGAACCAAAGGUCUCCGACAAAACAGGAGAAUUUUGCAUAUUAACAAUACAAUCCUUCUCAUUUGGGCUCAUAGAUCUCUCAUGAAGAUUAUUUUGUGCAGUAUCAAGUUCAAUGCCCCUCAUUAAAGCAGAUUCUACGUCGGCUCCAGCGAUUUUAUGACUCUCUCUAGAAUUGUCACUCGCUGCAGGAGAAUUGUCCCAGAGGAUGUUUUCUUCCCAAUCAUGCUGAUCAAGAGGGAAAACGUUCGGACUCGACAUUGACUUCCAUCCUACAGAAAGAUUUACAUUUGACUCCUCUUUCAUUGGCUCUGAACAAAUACAAGAGUCCUUCCAUUGCUCAUCACGCUGUUCCGAUAUAGUGGCAGCAUCUUGCUCGACACCAAACUUUACUAAUUCCAAGUCAUCAUCAUUAAGUGAGGAGAUAUCAUGCUGAAAAAUAUUGGCCUGUUUAAAUAAUGGAAAACCUAGACCAGAGCCCUUUAGAUACACCUCUUCAUCCUCUUCAACAAGACUUGAAACGUCCAUGGUGUUGUAUUUAUCUGGAAAUAAAGGGUGGAACGGAGGAUCCAGAUAAUUAAAACAAGAACAAAGUAAAAACCGUGAAUGUAAGUUUACGAAGAAUAGCUCCCAGAAUUCAAGAAAAUUGGAAGCACUAAAAACAAAACCACCUACCUUUAGGAGUGAAAUUCCUUUGAUCUCUUUUCUUCCCCUUCUUCAAGGGCUCAUGAAUACCAAAAAUUUCGGAGAACCUUAAGAUCACCUUUCCUUCUUCCACACAUAAAACUGGAAGUGGAGUCGAAACUUGUCCGUCUAAUGGCCCUUUCAGAAUAUCAGCAAGCUCCUGUUGGCUUUUAUGUUAACAGACUAAAAAAAUUGGUUUUUAAUGGUAUUAAACAAACAUGUCAGCAAGAUUGGGUUUUGCAUUUGCGAGAUGACAGACAUAAUUAUAUCGAUAAACUUAAAUGGAAUAAAAGAAAGACAGAUGCUGCACGUCCAAGAAAUAGGUAGCUUGACACAAACCGAUCCACACAGGACAACAAAAUAUCUUUACCCACUAUAUCUUCGGCAUCAACUAUUAAAAGUGCAGAAUCACACCACCUCUUGCUUAUGGAUGAAUGAUGAAAUCACAGUCAACCUUUUUCAGUUUAUUUCAAAAAGACUAAUCAUUUCUUUCUUUCUUUCUUUUCUUUUUUUUUUUUUGAGGGCUAAGAGACUAAUUCUUUCAUUUCACACACAAGAUAAUGAAACAUACAAAUAAUAGUACAAAUGAAGUACACUAUUCAAUGUUUAUAAUUGACAUCUAUAUAAACCGUGAGGUGAGGUUUAUGUCUAUCACUUAUCCUACAUAUGUGUAGAUGGAACUCUGCUAGUGGGAAGUAUGCGGAUCAAAUGAACUGGUUUCAGCCAAUUUCUUCUUUCUUUUUGGGGCGGGGGGGGGGGGGGUGUGGUGGGGGAAACGUUCAGGUUUUGAUUACUCAUAAUUUCAGAUAAAUUGAUAAGAUAUAGGGCCCACUUGGGACUGCUGCACUGUGCACAACAGUACAGAACAGGGCCAUAAUAUCUAGCAACCUUUGCAACAUGCAGCAACUGAUAUGAGUAAUUCAUUCCGAGGAAAAAUAAGACUCAUUAUUUGGCUUUGUAUCCAAAUGCAAUCCAGUGAGAUGGAGUGAUAUAAUGGAAAUCAUGUAGUGGGCCCAAUCAUGAAGUUUGUAAAAUUCAUUCUUGAAAUUGCAUUAUUCACGAAAAACAAAUAGACCUUCAUUUAAUUUCAUUAAAUGUCCAUCUCUAUACAUAUGACAACAGGAAUAUGAUAAGAGCAAGUUUUGACAACACGAUUUCCCAACACGUAGAUCAGCAGGAGACAAAAGAUAUGAGUAGGCAAAGAACUCGUAUACUUAUUUGAUUAACCCACAAGUUUUGAUGGUUUGAUAACAAGUGCAUAAAAAACACCUACAAAAAAAGCCCAACAUAAAAAAGCACCCACAAACUACAGGUUGUACCACCUGCCCAUAUGGUCGGUAACUAGUUUGACCAAGAAGCAAAAAUACACACAUACAACAAGAGUAGUUUCCGCAAAGCAGCUCAGGACUUAAUUAUUGCCACAAUUACACAUUUCCAAAACAGUGUUACUAAUAAACAUUUGUUGCUUCUAACCAAAUAGUGCAUAUUUCCUCAGAAUUUUCAUUGCAAAUAUGUUACGUAAUUAAUUUUCCCAUAGGAUAUCCUACAAGCUCGAUGCCACAUCAUGCCAUAUCAUGAAUGCAGGAUAUUCAUCUAAGAUAUGAAUCAAACAAUCCUGAAAAGCAAAAGCAUAUCAUCCUGAAUCCACUGAUUCAGAGUAAUCGCAUUUCAUUUGCAACAAUUCCACCACUUUCUUUCAUAGUCUUUAGAGUGAAAAGUGGAAACUAAGGGUUACUCAUCAAAACACUUUUUUAGACAUUCUAAUACAAGAAGACAUUUACACGAUAAAAGAAAUUGGAAAAAAAAAAUCGUAUGAGCAAUGGAAUGACAAUAUCUAGAAAUUAUAAGAAAAUUACUAGCCACCAACUGACCUCAUCAUAAUCUUGUACCCCAGCUGUCGUAUCUUCUUCAGCACCCAAAGAGCCAACUUGUAGAUUGCCCUCUGGGGAUUUUUCCCCAUCUGGAACUGCUAUAGCACACUCAGCCUGCUCCCCUGGAAAUAAGACAGAAAGUCAAACACCAAAUAAAACUAUGAAAAGAAAAUCAAUUGUCAAAAGUUAUCAAAUGGUCAAGAACCAAUGAUAACUAGAUAUCCAAAGAAUAAAUUACUAUACAUUCAGGAAAGAAGGAAACUCAGUCUCCAAAAAAUGACAAGCAUAAAACCAUUCUGGUCUCCACAGAUAAAAUUCUCCUAUCACUAGGUAAGAUUGCUUCAUUAGAUAACCUAUAAACAUUCAAGUAAGUUCACCAUAAUUUGUAAGAGACAAAAAGGCUGGGGUCAGUAAACAUGGCAAAGGCUAAGUCGCAUUCAAACUAUGUACUCACCAUCCAACAACAUAACAAAUCAAAGCAAGUUUCUUCUUACAUGUGAAGAAGUUACAGAACAAUAAAAAACCCAUACUCAUACAAACAGUCGAUGAAAAAUGAACAUAGAUAUGAAAAUUUCUGUUUAGACAAUCUGAUGCUGAAAACACUCCAACCAAACAGAUGUUAGAGCUGGGCAAAGAUAAAUCGUAUUUUCAUGGAUACAUGAUGACAAACCAAACCAAAUGUCCACAUGAAAUAAACAAUUACAAUGAUCAUAACAAUAAAAGUACACACACACACAUUGAAAUAUCUGUAUAUAUAAGGUUAGUAGUUUUAAAUCUAAGAUUAGGUAAAGUAAACCUGAUAAGGUUGUUGUUGUAUCUUCAGUUUCUUUAUCCACCUCCUCAUGUUCCUUUUCCAGCUCCUCGUCCUCAUCAUAAUUUUCAUCAUCAAAUGGAAAAGCUGUAGGUUUCAAAGCAGCAAGAGAAACUUCAGCAGCAAAGUAUUCCUUCUUUGGUAACAAGUAGUCCUCCUCGCUAGCAAUUUGAAUCUCUGGCCCCUUAUACUGCUCAUCAAUAUCUUCAUAAUCUACCGCAUCUUCAGCCUUCUCGUCAUAAUCUAGAAGUACAAAACCAAAAAAAUUUAAUCACAAAACUUAACCAGAAAGAACAACUAUUUAAAACCGUGAAUUGGACUGAAGUUCCAUCCAUCAUUCAGUAAAUCUAAAAUAGGAAUAAUCCCAUCUGUCCACCUAACAAUAAAUCAGGUAUUGAAGCUGUAAUCUAGUACAAAAGAUCAUUAACUAGAUUGUGAUGAAAAAAAUAAUCAUCUGUCUGCUAGAGGGUAAAGAAAUUAUAACCUCGGUAGUAAAAAGUACCAAGGAAAAAUUUAUAGUCAGAAACUGCAUAAAGAACGAACCAAUAUAGAGGGUAAAGCUUCUUAAUUCAUCAAUGACAAAACACAGACCAUCAAAGAAGAUAAUGAAUAUUACAAAAGUGAACCAGAGGUCCAUUAACUAAAAUCUUCCCCGCAGUGUAGAACACCAAAAGCUAUACAAAAUUUUCAAAAAGGAACCCUUGAAACCCAAGACAUCAGAAUAAGAAUCCAAACUAACAAAAUUAACUCAAAACUGGAUCCCAAUCAAGCUGAAUGAAAAAGAAUGUGUAAUCUUGAAAAUCCUUGGAAGUUGACACCCAAAUAGUAGAAAAGAAUCGAAUCCCGUCCUAUAACCAUUAAAUAUCUUCAUCUUUUUCUCCUGAAAAGAUACGGCUAUUUCUUUCUUGCCGAAUCACCCAAAAGAGAACUCCAUACAAAGGUAAUAUCACAAUUGAUUAUGAUAGGUUAUACUAAUUGUGGAAUUAAGGGUAUCAAAGGCCAAGCUGUAUUUGACUGGAGGGUAAUUCCACUUACUGAAACCACUUCACACAUAUCCAAAUCCCAAAAUAAUAGCAAAAGAAGGCCCCCUACUGGAUAUUGGACAAUAAUAAGUCUUGCAUGGACCAUUCUGUUUGUGCUAAUGAUUCAAAGACUUUUCCAUUACUAUUAAUGCUAAAUGCUUCUACAAUGUCUUUAAACAAAGGAAAUAAUUAUUAAGAAAACAAGUUGAUGAAACAAAGAUACUAACAGAAAACCAAAAACUGCAUGAGAGAUUUUCCUGGGAAACAAACAUCACCUCGUUCAAUAGCAUCUACCGGCGGUUGUGGUGAAUUUACUGACAACUAAAAGGUGAAAAACCUCAUUAGUAUCAUACCAUUGAAGAGACACUAAAGAUUCCACCAACCAAACACUAAAAACAAAAAAGUUGAAAACAUGAUUGAGAAUUCCAUACGUCUAUAUCCGUGAGAGACGGACCCAACUUGUCAGCAACUGCAGCAAGGUGCUCCUUUGCGUCCUGAAAAUUAAUUGCAUCACUACCAUUAAUGUGAUCAACAGUUCUAGAGACGAACUCUGAUGGCCCAAGAAAAAAAAUGAAAGAAAAUUCCAAAUCUAUAAAAACAGAAAUUGUAAACUCCUUUUGGCCAUACGAAAGCAAAAUUAAAUGUCAUUCUGUAGAGACCAAAUGGAUACAAAAACAUGAUAUAAUGAUACGUCAUUAUUUUCUUCAGCAUAUGUACCACAGAUCAAUACAUAAUAGCAGAACUGACACCAAUGAGCAUCAAAAUUAUCAGGUCUAGCCUUCUUAUUUCCAAUAAGUGGAUGCAUCAAAAGAGUAGAAUUCAACCAUGGUUCCCAAAGUAAAUGCCUCAAAAAAAAUCAAAAGAUUUGUGACAUGGAUGAACUUUAUAACAUGCACAAUUCACAAGGAAAAGCUAAAAACAUCCAACUGAAGACUGUCAUGCAUAGACUUGUCGGCAUGCAGCUAGCUAUUAUCAUUAUUAGUUAAUUUAUAUGCAAAUUUAUACAUGAAACAUGUUCAGAUUAUCACCUCAUCAAGGUAAUCAACAUCGAGAUCGCCAGCAUUGUCAACAUUCCCGAACAUAAACCCCAAAAGCCUGUUACCUUCGCUAACAUCCUCAUAUUCUUCCGCAUCAUCUGGAAAAUCAAUCAACCAAACAAGAUUUGAGAAUAAAAAUUUUCAUGCCGUGUACAAACACAUUUUAAGGUGUCAAAAGAAAAUAAAAAUGCAGUACAUAUAGACAACAAGCAAAUGCUCAACCAAUCGUGAAAAGGUUCCAUGUAAAACCAUUUCUAAAAGAAACAGUCUGUCACAUGUUACAUAAUAAUUACAGCAUUCAUUAGACUGGAGACCAACCUUUAUGUUGUCAUUCGUACUAGAGACUAUUUGUAACUAAUCAGCAAUAAAUUGGUGAAGUGAAACCAAAAACAAGUGAGCUACUUUCUGAUGAAGCAUCCUGGACAUGUCCAUUGAUAGACUCUGAGCACUUCUUACCAUAAAAUCUUUUUUCAAAACAAAAAAAAGGAACAAAAACUCUGAGCACUCACUCCCAGCAAAAACGGAAAUGAAUUCAUAAAAUGAAAGUUCUAAAAUGCAGUACUAACGAGAUAAUUUCACUUAGGAGCCAUUUAGAUAUUUCAAAUGACGAUAUUUUGCAUAUUAAAGGAGUAAUCAAUACAACAUUUUGAUGGUUCAUACAGUAUGCAUUACAAAUUUAAUUUAUACUCUCAAACCUAGUCUUUCCGCCUCUAUUUUCAUUAUGCAACUACAAAUUCAUGUGUAUAUUAAUAGUUCAUAGAAGACUAUUCAAGUACAGUACAACAUAAUACACUUUUUUUUUCCCCGAAAUGAAAGUAAAUAUAACAUUAAAUCAAGAACUCACUAGACUAUGAAGCAACCAACCUUCAUCUCUGCCAUCCUUAGAAGCACUACCCGAAUCGUAGCCAGCCAUCUUUUUAGUUACAGCUCUGAAGUAACAAUCAAAGUUGAAUCAGAAACAGGUAACAAAUACUCAGAAGACCCAUAAUAGAAAUUCCAAGUUCUGCACUUUUUCUUCUUUGCAGUAAAUUUAAGGGAAAAUACCAGUAAGUUAUAAAUUAUAAACCCUAAAAUGGCAAAGCUCAUACUGACAAAAAAUUCAUUGUAAAGAAUUAAAAAAUUGCUAGAACGAAAAAUAAAAAAUUACUUAAGUAAUUGCAACAAGAGGUUACUAUAACUUCAUUUGAAUAACUGAAUUUCAAAAGGAAACAAAGCGAAGACAAGCUAAAUUCACAAGGAAAGGUAAUCGCCACAAAAAAGAUAAGAUAUGCACACACAUAUUUAUUUAUUUAUUUAUAUGAGAGGUAAAAGCAAACCUCUUAGGUUACAGAGAUUUUAUCAUUGCAAUCGAGAAUAUGAAUACGCUCAUGUAGAAGAACUAGAACAAGAUUCGAUUUGAAUUGGCAAGGAGAACAGAGAAAGUGAGCGAGAGCGAGACAACAAAAGCGGAGAUGGGGGACUAACAGAUUAUUUUUAUAUCAAUAUUAUGUGAAUAAAUUAAUAAAGUUUUCGCAUCUGAAACGGAUAUGGAGAGGUCGGGUUUUAGAGGAAGGCGGUCACAAAUACGCGUUUGCAUCGGGUUAAUUGCAACCUGAUACAAAACAAAUCCUAUUGGCCAUACCAUUGAGAAAUUUCGUGGCUUCGACGGAGACAGCUCCAACCCGAUCUCCCGCGGUCUAGUACAAAAGCCUCACACUCAUGAGAUUUGAAGUUUCAGGCUGAGAUAACUCGUCUAAACUCUAAUUAAUCGGCUUGAUUCCUGAACCGACUUAUGAGACUAGUAAGGCUUCGCUGUCCUCCCCAUAAUUGGUAUUUUCUAGGUUGGUAAAUUGCAUUGCAGGUUUGAGCUGGGUUUUUUCAAGCCCAAGCCCAUGUAAUUGGUAAGGGGCCCAAACGUUCUAAAAGUCCGUCCAAAUUUAAGAGGGCCGGGCUUUGAUUUUUAAUAAUUUAAUAAAUUUUUAUUUUUAUUUCUUUUUUAGUGGGUGAGAGCUACAUAUGGCACUUUCAUUUAUAGAUGGAAACUUUUCCAACAACAUAUCAAUUAUCCACCAAAUCUCAAAAAAAAAAAAUAAUAAUGUACAUAUAAGUGAAAAAUUUGCUUAAUUUUGAUGACAAACAGAGAAAGUGCCUAUAAAAUAAAAAUCUGCAAAUUACAAGUGAUAAAAUACAUAAACUAGGUAAAUGUUAAAUACCCUUUAAUAAUUUUUAAAAGAAUUUGUGGUUGAAACUGAAACACAAUGGUUCUUCUUCGUUAUCCACUUUCUAUGGCAACAAUGAAACAUUCUUGUUCUUCUUCUUCUUCACUCUCUCUCUCUCGAUUCUUCCACAAAACUACUCUUCAUUACAACAUCAACAAUGGCUUCAGUGAUCUCCGAAUUUCUACAAUAAUUAAAAAAAAUCCAAGCUUACUUGGGGUGGAGUUGGUGAUGGUUUGCUGUUGGUUCGCGUGAGUUCCUGGUGCUGCUGGUUUCGGGUGGAGUUGGAGCUGAGAUCGCUGCUGCUGCAUUGUGCGCGUUUGAUUGGCUACAGCUACGUCGCACGGGUGGUGCUGGUGGGUGUGGGUCGCUGUUGCGUCGCCUGUUUGGUGCUAUACUGCUGCUGGGUUGCUGGCUCUGCCGCGUCGCUCGUGGACGGUGGAUCGCUAGUGAAGAUGGUGGCUCCUUAAUUCGGUGUGAGGAUGAGGCAGUAAACGUCAGCUUUUGGCUGCCGGUGGAAAGUGCAGUGAGAGGCUGAUGGAGCGGCUGGAGAAGUGGAGAUAAAUUUAGGGAUUUUAGGUUUUGGGAAUUUGGUAAAGUCUAAUACCAUCAAAAUCCUUUUCCUAAUCUAACACCAUCUGUUAGGCUGCUGUUCUUAGAUAGCAGCAACGAAUUGAAGAGAAGAAUUAUAGAAGAAUAAUGAGGAGAGGGAGAAUUGUGUGGGAUGUACCCCAUUUCCUUCAAAAUACCCAAUAUAUACCUAAAAUUAUAACACUCUUAAAUUUUACACAUAUAUACUCUAAAAAAUUAGAGAAAAUACAAAAAUAGCCACGACUAAAUCCUCAUAAAAUUAAACCCAACUCCUCGAAGUCGGGUAAAUAGUCGAGAAUACUCGACUUCAACCAAACCAUACACAAUUAGUAAUUUAGCAUAAAUUCUCGACUUUUUCAUAUUAGUCGGGUAAAUAGUCUAGAAUACUCGACUUCAAUUGAAAUAAAAAAUUAUUUGAAAAAUUCUUAAUUUUUUCAAGUAAGUCGAGUAAAGAGUCGAGAAUACCUGACUUUAAUUUAACCUUAUCUAAUAUUCAUUCAGCAAAAAUUCUUGACUUUUCAUUGAAGUUCGGUAAUUGGUUGGGAAUACUCUACUUAAAUUGAAAUGAAAAUUUUCCUUUUAAUUAAGUCAGGAAAAAAGUCGAGUAUACUCGACUUUGGUUGCGUUAUUAUGUAGAAGUCAUGAGAGAGGAAGUAAACGUAAAUAGAUGGUUGAUAAGUGCAUAUUUUCCAUAUAUUUUGCUAUUAAUUUCUCCAUCUUUUUCUUGUUUUGGUCUUAAAUAUUCUAGUUAUUUUAGUUAAUUUUUAAUUUAGUAAAUUAUAUUUUAUUGUGUUAAUUUUUAUCUUAGUUUUAUUUAUUUUGUUAUUUUAGAUAUAUUCUGGAAUUAAAGAGAAAUUAAAUCGGAGUAUUCAGGAAAGAAAUUUGAUUGAAGAUUGAGAGACAAAAGUGUACAAGAGAUCAAGAAUUGGAAGGAAUUAGAAAAUAAAGAAUAUUCGCCCAUUAAAGCUUGUAUGGGCCAAGCAAAAUGAAUGUUGCACAUGGAGCUAAAAUUGGAAAAUGGAAGUAAAAAAGGAAGCCAAGCCAAUUAACAAGCCAAGCCAUCACAUGAAAGCAAAAUUGGAAAACAAAUAUUGCAAACCAAAAGUGGCCAGCACGUGAAAGGAAGGAGAAUAAAGCCUUUUGGCUUUAGGAAAUCAUGGCAAAAUCAUUAUUGGCUUAUUAAUUGAAGCAUGAAAGUGGCGGUUAUGGGCUUUGGAUUUAAUUCUUUCCAUGCAAGGAUUUAAAAGAAGCCACAAUUGAAGCAUUAUAAAAAGGAUCAAGCGGAAGCAACACAAGAGGAGAAUCGGCAACCAAGAGGGGAAUCGGCACCAAGAGAAACUGAACAAUUUGUAGCCGCAAAGGAGAAGAAAAAAUCAGCAACCAGAAUUAAAUUGAAGCAAAGGCAGCCGCUUGAAUUAAUCUCCAUGAUUAGUUUUGUCAAUUCUUUUAUUCCCAAUUCAAUUAUGUUAGGCUAGAUUUUUAUUUGGUUGAGGGUGAAUUCAAAACCCCGAACAUGUCACAUGAUUAAUUUUUAAUUUCUAUCAUUCAAUUUAUUUAAUUGAGAUUGUUUAUGUUCUUCUAUAAUUAAUGUUCAUGGUUUAUUCUUAUUUUACUUGAGUAGCCAAUUAGAUAGGACUUGAAUAAAUUCUAUUGCUAGAUUAAAAUUCUUGAUCCGUAAUUGUCUUGAUAUUUUAAUCAUUAGUGGUAUGUUGGAAUCAGUGAUUUCGAUUGGAGAACAUAACCUAAGUUAAAUAAUCCGAACUUGUGUGUUUAUUGCCUAGAUCAACCUAAUAUCUUUCUCUGUUUAAUGCUUCUAUUAUCUUAAAUUUAAAGAGCUUGUUUUAAAUUAUUUAAUGGUUAGAGAUUAGAUGAAGAGCUUGUUUUGCCUAACGACACACUAAGGAAAGAUUGAGACUAACAGAGCUUAUUGUUGUCUACGGUUGAUAAUUUCAAUAUAAAUUGAUGAUAGAAUUGAUAUAUUAUGUGCAUGUUUGGUGGUGGCGAAUGAUCAUUUAACCAAAGUUUUCAUCAUUAUUAUUUCUUUCUCCUUUAAUUAGAGUUUUUAUUAAAUUCUUGUUCGUAGUUUCAAUUUCUUUAUUUCUUACUAUUUAGUUAAAAACUCAUAAACCCCCCUUUUAUUUAUAAUUGGCAUUUUGGGUUAUUUUCAGGGACCUCCCCUGAGGUUUAGUGUAUCUACAGUCGGAUAGAAAGUAUGCAUGUAAUUACAGGGACCUCCCCUGGCGUUAGUGUUCCGUUAAAUGGACUGUCAGUUGACUGUUUAAAUUCCAAAAAUGCCCCUCCCGCCAAAAUCUAUUUUGAUUCAUAUGAUUAACUGAUGGAUAAUAGAAUUCACACAAAAAUAUCCAAUGGAUAAAAAAAAAUUACACACUAAAAAAAAUAAACAUUUUUCUGCCAAUAUUACCGUUGUAAAUAAACGGUAAUAUUCAGCAGCAGAGCCUAUAAAUGGAGCCUUUUGUAGGCUUAAUAAAUCACCAUAGCACACUCUCUUCUUCUUCUAUUUCUUUUAAAAAAUUCUUAAAAACUUUGGUUCUGCAAUUUGUUCAAACUGAUCACUCAUUCAGUUGAACUCAUCAACAAAAUCAUUCAAAAAAAUCAAGCUUAAACACUGCCUGAAAGCCAUGGAUUCUCAAAGCUCUAAUACAUCAAGCACAUCAACCAUGGAACAAGUUUAUGAGCCAGCUUGGAGGAACUUUGUUAAUGGAAAGCUCAUUAGGUUUUCAAACCGUAUAUGCAAAUGCCGUAUGAGAGCUGAAGUAAAGAUAUCUGAAUCAGAUAACAACCCUCACAAGCUUUACUAUAAAUGCAUGAACAAAACAAACUGUGGGUACUUCAAGUGGUGGGUUCCAGAAAGGAAUGAUUUCAACAAUGGAGCUUUUUUUGAAGGAAAUAUGACUGCAAUUGUGAAUGUUGAUGCCCUGCAUGCUAUUGAAGCUAAUGUGAAUGAAGUGAAGACUCUAGUAAAGAAGUUACAAAAAUCUAGAUUUAGUGAAGGGGCUGUGAAGAUGAUGAUGUACUUGAAUCUAACAUUCUUUAUACUCAAUCUACUAAUGCUUAAGAUGUAAUAGCUUAUGUAAUCCUAUCUAUAUCUAUGAAAGGCUAUAGUAAAGUGUAGUUGUUCUAGUGCUUUUCAAAUGCUAUGUGGCAAAACCUAGUUGGAAGCCUAUAAUAUCAAUGAAAUCUAGUCGAACUCCUUAUAUGCACUACAAUAUUAGCAUAUAUAUGAUAGAUAAGUGAUAAUUACAAUAAUAAGUAAAUAAUAUACUUUAACUUAUAAGAAGCAAAAUCAGAUCAAUAACAAAAAGCAUAAUGAAUAACACAAAUAAUAUAUACUUUAACUUAUAAUUUCAUAUUCAUUCCAGCAGUAUCAAAUGUCAUCAAUGGCUGAAUUCGAUCAACCUAUACAAAUCAGCAGUAGCCAAUGUAUAUAGUAGCAGCAUGCGUGUGUUUAUACAUAAACAUCACAAGUACAAAAUAAACAAAAACUCAAACCUAUAUCUAUGGUUGAGUGACAAAAAGAUGAUACAACAUCUUCAUCAUUCUAAUGCUUACAAUUUAAGGUGAUGCAUCAUCUAACCCCUCAAAAAUAUUUUGUAGAUGGGAUUAGCUUGGCUUCUGCUGUCUUCACUUCAUAAGUACAGCUUGAUGUUUUCAAUGCUAUUGGAUGCAUUAAUUUACUAGUGAUCACUCCUGAGUAAGUUGUCCUUCAUGAUUAAAGUAAACAAAUUAAAACGUAACUUGUGGUUGUAUUAAAUCAUGAAAAAAAAAACUAACAUUCUGGACACUAUUCUGUCCAGAAUGUAAGUUAAAACAUGCUGUCAAGAUUACAUACCAUUUCCAUGGACACUAUUCUGGCUGAGAUUCACAGAACCAGUAGUAGCAGUAGAUCCCAAUGACUCUCCUUUAUCCUAUAUGUAGACAAUUAAAUAAUGGAUUAGUAUAACACAAUUUAUAAUAAAAGCAAUAUACACCAAAAUUACAAACAAUGAAUAAAUAUGACCUGAUGGACUUUCUUUUUCGGAAAUUUCUUAGUUUUUCCCCCUCUCUCAGUAACUUUGCAGCUUCUGACGUUGUGGCCCUACUGAUCGCAUUUAGAACACCUUACGCUUGAGCUCCUCUUAAAUGCCUUAUUUUCACCAGCCUCCUUUCCUCUUGGUUUGAGGCCUACCAGCAGCCCUUUAUGACAAGUGGUGGUAACAGAUUAUCAUGCAAAAGUAAAGGCCAUCUGCUUUCAUCAGGCACUGAAUGCAGCUGGUGAGAAUAAGUUUUCUUGAAUGCAGUUUUCCUUAAUAAAUUAUGGAUGUAAUCAUUCACGUUAUAUCUCAUUGCAUCAAUGCAACACAUGGCAUGCUUGCAAGGUAAGCCUGAUACAUCCCACUCCCCACAAUCACAAUGCUUCGUGCCUAAAUCAACAACACACCUCUUAGAAAUAUCUUCCAUUACUUCAAAGGUUUUGUCAUGACCAAAUAUAACUGACAAUGUUCUAGAUUCAACCCUUGCUUCUAUAACCUUCCUCCAAACAAAUGGAGGCAGCUCAUCUUGCCAAGUGUUGGCCUGCUCAUAUCUUUUGUGUAUCAAUAUCAUAAUCUUCCUUCUAAUCUCCUCAAGCAUUCUUACAAUGGGCAUGCCUCUGAAGUUACUGAUCCAAUUAUUAAAAGAUUCAGUCAUAUUGUUUGUGACAUGCGAACACUUGAUUUGUAUAGGGAAGCAAUGCUUAGCCCAACAAACCACUGGAAUUUGCAACAACCAUUUGUGAGCAGCAAGGUAGAUACUAUAAAUUUCAGCCAUAUGGUUAUUGAAAUAAACUUGAUUUGCACUUCUGCAUGCAGCCCAAAAUUCUUUUUUCAGCAACAUACCAGGAAACUUUUGCUUGAAGUUUGAAUAAAUAUGCCUACAACAGUACCUUUUUAAAGCAUGAGGAAAAACCCUCUCAAGAGCAUUCAAUAUCCCCUUUUGUCUGUCACUCAUAAAGCAAAGACCCUCACCACCAUUACAGCCUAUUUGCUCAUAUAGUUUCUCCAUAAAGUAAGUCCAAGACUCAGUGUUUUCAUUGUCUACUACACACAUGGCUAACGGAUAUAUGCCAUAGUUGGCAUCUACACUAACAACAGACAAUAUGACCCCUUUAUACAGACCCUUAAGGUGACAACCAUCUACACCUAUAAAUUGCCUACAACCUUCAAAGAAUCCCCUCCUAUUAGCAUCAAAAAACACAAAAAAAAAAUUUAAAAUGAGGAUUCACCCCACCACCUAACCAAUCUUUUUCUAACGAGACUGUUGAACCGGGAUUAGAGGAUAAGAUAACAUUCAUAUACCUGAAUAGCUUUGUGAAGCUAGCCUUGUGAUCUUGACCGAGCAUUUUCUUACUAUUAUUAUUACUAAUACUAUUUUAUUUAUAAUUGACAUUUUCUUUAGUUAGAUUAAUUUAUAUUAUUAUUACUAUUAUUAUUACUACUAUUAUUUUAUUUUAAAUCUUGCUUUAGAGUUGAUAAUAAAUAUAACUAGCAUAGUCUAUGUGGGAUCGAUCCUUACUCGCUUUGUACUAAUUAUUUAUAUUAGUGCUAAGGUUUUAAAUUUGAUGUACCUUAACGACACUACCAAAUUUUUGGCGCCGUUGCCAGGGGACUAGCAUUUAGUUUGUUUAUUAUCACUUGUUUUAUUUUAUUAUUUUUACUUAUUUUUUUCUUUCCCUCUCAUUUUAUUUAUUUAUUUUGUUUUAAUUAGUUAUUUUUUGUUCUAUAUUUAGAUUUUCAUGAGCAUACAGGACAUUUGAUUGAAACUCGAACAACUUAGAGCAACCUCAUCAUAUUCAGAACUCGAUUUCGCCAUCCACAUUCCACUCUUGAAGACAGAGCCAGGCAGCCCAGAACCCGAACCAAUGGCUCAGAACAACAAUCGAACACUUAAAGAGUUGGCAGCUCCUAACUUGGACCAGCAACCCUUAUGCAUUGAGAAUCCAAACCCUCAGGUAAACUUUGAACUCAAAUCUAGGAUGAUUCAUCUUCUUCCUACUUUUCAUGGUCUUGCAAGAGAGGAGCCAAAUAAACACUUGAAGGAGUUCCAUGUGGUUUGCUCCACAAUGAAACCAGCCGGAGUUUCUGAAGAGCAAGUUAAGCUAAUGGCCUUCCCAUUCUCUUUGGUGGAUUCAGCCAAGGAAUGGUUGUACUAUCUUCCCUCUGGUACUGUCACUACAUGGAAUGAGAUGCGUCAGCUAUUUUUGGAGAAAUAUUUCCUAGCAUCAAAAGCUGGCAGUAUUCGAAAAAAAAUUUGUGGAAUCCGACAAUAUAAUGAAGAGUCACUUUAUGACUAUUGGGAACGAUUCAAAAAGCUAUGUGCUAGUUGCCCCUACCAUCAAAUAAGUGAUCAACUCCUUAUUCAAUAUUUUUAUGAGGGUCUACUCCCUAUGGAUAGGAGUAUGAUUGAUGCAGCUAGUGGAGGAGCACUCGUAGAUAAGACACUAGAGGCAGCCCGAAAUCUCAUUGCUAACAUGGCUGCUAAUUCCCAACAGUUCAACACCAGGAACGAUCUACUGCUGCCGCCUAAGCGAGUCAAUGAGGUAAGUACUACUUCGCUCUAACAACAAGUUUCAAAUCUUACUUCUUUGGUGCAACAAUUAGCCCUAGGGCAACAGGUGAGACCAUGUGGCGUCUGUUCCAUGGUCGGGCAUGCGACUGAUAUGUGCCCUACUCUCCAAGAGGGUUCACAUGAGCAAGCCAACGCAGUUGAGGGGUUCCUAGGCCAACCAAGACAAAGGUAUGACCCCUAUUAUAAUUUUUACAAUGAAAGGUGGAAGGAUCACCCUAAUUUUAAGUAUGGGAACCAACAACAAGGCAUUCCUAAUGUGGCACCAUCUCGACCACUGGGCUACCCCCAACAGCGGGUGCAACAGCCUUACCAAGUUCAGCCACCUCCACCUCCUCAAAAUCAAGGUACGUCUUUGGAAGACCUUGUAAAAGCUCUCGCUACUAACUCUAUGCAAUUCCAACAGACUACCCAGACACAGCUCCAAUAUUUAGAGAAUUAAAUUGGCCAAUUGGGCACAUCUAUGAGUUAGAUAGAGGCUAGAACUUCAGGAAAGUUACCUUCUCAACCAGAAAUUAAUCCAAAGGAGAAUGCUAGCGCUAUGUCUCUUAGGAGCGGAAAACAGUUGGAACCAUUAUUAGCUAAGCCAUCAAAAGUGUCCACAACAGCAUCGCACUCUGUGACCAAUCCCUCCCUUGAGGCUAUUCCUUUAACAAGGAAAUAUGAUUCCCACUCUGCAUUGCCAGUCGACCCAUCUAGCCAAGGAAGUAACCCCUCACUUCGAAUUAAGGCUAUCUCAAUUCCUCCACUAUUUCCUAGCAGGUUUAAAUAAUCCAAGAAAUGGGAGCAAGAAAAAAAGAUCCUUGAGACCUUUCGUAAAGUCGAGGUAAAUAUUCCUCUACUUGAUGCUAUUAAACAAGUGCCGUGUUAUGUAAAGUUUUUAAAGGAAUUAUGCAGCAACAAGCGAAAGUUGAGCGGUAACGAAAAGGUAAGUGUAUGAGAGAAUGUUUCUGUUGUACUUCAAAGAAAACUUCUUCCUAAGUGCAAGGAUCCAGGUACUUUUACUAUCCCUUGCACUAUUGGCAAUACCAUAUUCAAAAGAUGUAUGCUAGAUUUAGGGGCCUCAAUUAAUGUUAUGCCAUAUUCGAUUUAUAACUCCUUAAAUUUAGGUCCAAUGGAAGAAACUGGUAUAAUUAUUCAAUUGGCUGAUAGAUCUAAUGCUUACCCGAAGGGGGUUGUGGAAGAUGUUCAUGUGCAGGUCAAUGAAUUGGUCUUUCCAACUGAUUUUUAUAUCCUUGAAAUGGACGAUGAAUCAUCGCCCAAUCCCACUCCUAUUCUGUUGGGGCGACCAUUCCUUAAGACAACCCGAACCAAGAUUGAUGUUCACGAUAGAACCCUCGCAAUGGAAUUCGAUGGUGAAGUGAUCCACUUCAAUAUCUUUGAGGCAAUGAGGUAUCCUAGUGAUGCACAUUCUGUCUUUGCCAUAGAUGAUAUUAAUACUUUGGUGCAGGAUGAUUCUAAGGAACAAGCAAAUUUGAUAAAGUUGGAUGAUGAGGUAGAGGAAGCUAUGGUGAUCUUAAAUGGAGCAGUCACAUUACGUACUAAUGGGUAUAAUGUCUCUUACCUUGAAUUGCCUUUAUUAAAUGAGAAACUUUUACCUUCAAUUGUGCAGGCACCUACCUUAGAACUUAAGCCACUCCCAGAGCACCUGCAAUAUAUUUACUUGGGUGAGAAUAAAACACUUCCAAUCAUAAUUGCUAAAACCUCACUUCGGUUCAACAAGAAAAGCUAAUUAAGGUGCUUCGGGAUCACAAGACGGCGAUUGGCUAGACCAUUGCCAACAUUAAGGGAAUUAGUCCUUCCAUGUGCAUGCAUCGUAUUUUGCUAGAGGAAGGGUCUAAACCAACGAGAGAUGCACAACGCCGCCUUAAUCCACCAAUAAUGAAAGUCGUAAAAAAGGAGAUACUGAAACUCCUUAAUGUGGGGAUUAUUUAUCCCAUUUCUGAUAGUAAAUGGGUGAGUCCUGUGCAGGUAAUUCCAAAAAAAUCAGGCAUCACAGUGGUCAAGAAUGAAGAAAACAAGCUUGUGCCAACUAGAGUUCAAACUGGGUGGAGAGUUUGCAUUGACUAUCGUAAACUGAAUGCAGCCUCUCGCAAGGAUCAUUUUCCUCUGCCAUUCAUUGAUCAAAUGCUUGAAAGGUUAAGGGGUCACUCUCAUUAUUGUUUUCUUGAUGGUUACUUAGGUUAUAAUCAGAUCGUUAUCACUCCGGAAGACCAAGAGAAAACGACCUUCACUUGCCCCUUCGGAACAUUUGCUUAUCGACGCAUGUCGUUUGGUCUCUGUAACGCUCCUGCCACUUUCCAAAGGUGUAUGAUGAGUAUUUUUUCUUAUUAUGUGGAGAACAUCAUUGAGGUAUUUAUGAAUGAUUUUACAGUUUAUGGUGAUUCUUUCGAUAAAUGUUUAGAUAACCUUACACUUGUUCUUAAACGAUGCAUUGACACUAACCUUGUGCUUAAUUGGGAAAAAUGUCAUUUUAUAGUUAAUUAAGGUAUUGUAUUAGGCCAUGUUAUUUCUGAAAGGGGGAUUGAAGUUGAUAAAUCUAAGAUAAAUCUUAUUCGUUCCUUACCACCUCCCACUAGUGUGAGGGAGGUUCGUUCUUUUCUUGGUUAUGUAGGUUUCUAUCGCAGGUUUAUCAAAGUCUUCUCCAAGAUAGCAUUACCCCUCUGCAACUUACUUCAAAAGGAUGCAACGUUUGACUUCAAUGAAGAGUGCCAAAGAGCUUUUAAGAAGUUAAAAGAGGUUUUGACAUUGGCCCCUGUGAUUCAACCACCGAACUGGGAUUUACCAUUUGAGAUUAUGUGCGAUGCCAGUGACUAUGCUGUUGGAGCCGUGUUGGGCCAGCGUGUGGGCAAGUUUCCUCAUGUCAUUUAUUAUGCCUCUCGUACAUUGAAUGAUGCACAACUUAACUACUCCACUACCGAGAAAGAACUUUUAGCAGUUAUCUUUGCCUUAGAGAAAUUUUGUUCUUAUUUAAUUGGAUCUAAGGUAAUCUUUUACUCUGACCAUGCAGUUAUUAGGUACUUGCUCACCAAAAAGGAUGCCAAGCCGCGCCUUAUUCGAUGGAUACUUCUAUUGCAAGAAUUUGACUUAGAGAUUCUACAUAAGAGAGGUUUUGAGAAUUUGGUGGCAGAUCAUUUAAGUCGACUUACCUAUAACGAAGAUGCACUUCCAUUGCAUGAGAACUUUCCAGAUGAGCAGUUAUUACAUGUAGGUAUAGUUACUCCUUGGUAUGCAGAUAUUGUCAAUUACUUGGUUACCAUGACAAUACCGAAAAAGAUAACCCGUGCAUAAAAGGCCAAGAUCAAGAGUGAUGCCAAGUACUAUGUGUGGGAUGAGCCAUACUUGUGGAAGCAUUGUUCUGAUCAAGUUAUUAGAAGGUGCGUACCCGAAACUGAAUUUACUUAUAUUCUCACAUUUUGUCAUACUUUGGCUUGUGGAGGACAUUUUGGACCAAAGAGAACAGCCCUUAAGGUACUUGUGAGCGGUUUUUAUUGGCUAUCACUAUUUAAGGACGCAUAUUUGUUUUGCAAAUCUUGUGAUCGUUGCAGAGAACAGGUAAUUUGGGACCUAAAAAUCAAAUGCCGCAAUCUCCCAUUCUUAUAGUUGAGAUUUUUUAUGUUUGGGGCAUCGAUUUCAUGAGACAAUUUCCUCCAUCGUUUGGUAAUCUCUAUAUUGUUCUUGCGGUUAUGUUUCAAAAUGGGUGGAAGCAAAAGCCACCCGAACUAACGAUUCUAAGGUUGUGGUAGAUUUUAUAAAGAGUAACAUCUUUACAAGGUUUGGAACACCAAAGACAAUUAUCAGCGACAGAGACACUCACUUUUGUAACAGGUCAGUAGAAGCCCUCUUUCAAAAAUACAACAUCACUCACAAGGUGUCUACAUCUUAUCAUCCCCAAACUAGUGGGCAAGCUGAGGUGUCUAAUAGGGAAGUGAAAUCAAUCCUUGAAAAGACAGUUAAUCCGAAUAGAAAGGACUGGAGCCUAUGGGUUGAUGAUGCACUUUGGGCAUAUAGGGCUUUAUACAAAGCGCCUAUUGGUAUGUCACCCUACAGGUUAGUAUAUGGUAAGUCUUGUCAUCUUCCAAUGGAACUUGAACAUAAAGCUUAGUGGGCUAUGAAACAAUGUAACAUGAAAUUGGACGGCACCGGCCAGCACAGAAAGUUCCAAUUCCAAGAAUUAGAGGAAAUUCGAAAUGACGCCUAUGAGAAUUCAUGAAUCUAUAAGGAAAAUACUAAGGCUUUUCAUGAUAAGCAGAUCUUGAGAAAGAGUUUUGAAGUUGGACAUAAAGUUUUGUUAUUCCAUUCUCGCCUUAAGUUAUUUCCAGGUAAAUUACGUUCUCGAUGGGUUGGGCUUUUUGUUGUUACUAAUAUUUUUCCUCAUGGUGCAGUUGAGAUCAGGAGCUUAAAGACAGGUAAAGAGUUGAAAGCUAAUGGUCAUAGGUUGAAGCCUUACUAUGAAAACUUUCAGACACUCAAUGUAGAGGAGGCUCCACCUUAUGAAUCUGCGUACAUUGAUGAGUGAAACUUGAGAAUUAUAUCAGGCUGAGGACAAUAAACCAAGCGCUUAUUGGGAGGCAACCCAAUGGCUGGAGAAAAGAUUUUGAGAGCACGCCAUAAUAGAUUUGAUCUUUCUCCCUUUCAUUCUCAUUUACUUUAUCCACUCUGUUGAAUUUUGUUUGUUUCUGUUUGUGUGUCUCAUCUCAUUUCCCCAUGUUUAAUUAUUUAUUUUGUUAACUUAGGCUUACAUUGAGGACAAUGUAAGAAUUAAGUGUGGGGGGGGGGAUUUCGAACUUAGUUUUUAUUGCUUUGUCUUUUUCUUUUUAUAAAAAAAAAAACAACAACAACAACAACAUUGUUGUGAAUAUUAGCCAGUGAUAAGAAUUUGAUUGACAAUUAAUAUGGUUCUUAGAAAAUGUUGAAUAUUAACUUAGUUUAUACUUGAUUCUUGUGUUGAUUUUUUCUUAAUUAAGAUUCUUUAAACCAUGAACACUAAUAUCAAUUCUUUCAUAAUUUUGACUUAGAAUUUGAGAUUGACGCAACCUGAGUUGAGAAUUUUAAAUUGAGUAAAUGAUUGUUUGUCUUGAUUCUUAUCUCCACAAUACAGUGUAGUAUACAUAGGCACCAUAGUCAGAAAUAGCUACUUAUAACCCUUAAGAGUGAAACUAUCCUUGAGUAAUUUGGGCCUAUGUGCCACCAGUAUGUAGAUGAUAAUCUACCAUGAGAAGAAGGCUACCUUAAGGGGUAGAGUGAAAGCUCCUGACUAUAAAAAAAAAAAAGAGAAAAAAAUCAAAAGAAAAUGCACACAAAUGCCUGUAAAAGAAAAAAAAAUUGGAGAUCAAGAUGAUAAGAUUAGUUUGACCUACUCUUUUCUUUGUUCGAGGCAAAGGCUGUUGAUAUUGAAGAUUUUGGGAAUGGAUUUUAAUUGAAUUGAUUCACACACACACUAUGAGAAUCAAAAGAGAGAUGUGAUUGACUAUUGAAUUAAAGUUAGAACUUCGAUAAUAUUUGAAAUCUUCUUUGAGCUAUAUGACUUAUACAAUCUUUGAGGCUAGUUUUAUUUUAAAUUCCUUUGUUCUUUUUCUGCUAUAAAAAAAAAGAAAAAAAGAAAAUACAAUGAUGUUUGUGGGUAUUAUCGCUGAAGCCCUUACGAGACUAUAACUCGUCCACUAGGGCCGCCUAGGGGUUUAAAGGUUUGUUGCACACGCUAAAUGCAAUCAUGAUUUCCUACGAAAGUGGACUAGUUUAGGUUUUCUUUUUAUUUUAUUUUUGUUCUAGGUUUGCUCGAGGACGAGCAAAGGGUAAGUGUGGGGGAAUUUGAUAAGUGCAUAUUUUCCAUAUAUUUUGCUAUUAAUUUCUCCAUCGUUUUUUUGUUUUGGUCUUAAAUAUUCUAGUUAUUUUAGUUAAUUUUUAAUUUAGUAAAUUAUAUUUUAUUGUGUUAAUUUUUAUCUUAGUUUUAUUUAUUUUGUUAUUUUAGAUAUAUUCUGGAAUUAAAGAGAAAUUAAAUCAGAGCAUUCAGGAAAAAAAUUUGAUUGAAGAUUGAGAGACAAAAAUGUACAAGAGAUCAAGAAUUGGAAGGAAUUAGAAAAUAAAGAAUAUUCUCCCAUUAAAGCUUGUAUGGGCCAAGCAAAAUUAAUGUUGCACAUGGAGCUAAAUUUGGAAAAUGGAAGUCAAAAAGGAAGCCAAGCCAAUUAACAAGCCAAGCCAUCACAUGAAAGCAAAAUUGGAAAACAAAGAUUGCAAACCAAAAGUGGCCAGCACGUGAAAGGAAGGAGAGUAAAGCCUUUUGGCUUUAGGAAAUCAUGGUCAAAUCAUUAUUGACUUAUUAAUUGAAGCAUAAAAGUGGUGGUUUUGGGCUUUGGAUUUAAUUCUUUCCAUGCAAGGAUUUAAAAAAAGCCACAAUUGAAGCAUUAUAAAAAGGAUCCAGCGGAAGCAACACAAGAGGAGAAUCGGCAACCAAGAGGGGAAUCGACACCAAGAGAAACUGAACAAUUUGCAGCCGCAAAGGAGAAGAAAAAAUCAGCAGCCAGAAUUAAAUUGAAGCAAAGGUAGCCGCUUGAAUUAAUCUCUAUGAUUGGUUUUGUCAAUUCUUUUAUUCUCAAUUCAAUUAUGUUAGGCUAGAUUUUUAUUUGGUUGAGGGUAAAUUCAAAACCCCGAACAUGUCACAUGAUUAAUUUUUAAUUUUUAUCAUUUAAUUUAUUUAAUUGAGAUUGUUUAUGUUCUUCUAUAAUUAAUGUUCAUGGUUUAUUCUUGUUUUACUUAAGUAGCCAAUUAGAUAGGACUUGAAUAAAUUCUAUUGCUAGAUUAAAAUUAUUGAUCCGUAAUUGUCUUGAUAUUUUAAUCAUUAGUGGCAGGUUGGAAUCAGUGAUUUCGAUUGGAGAACAUAACCUAGGUUAAAUAAUCCGAACUUGUGUGUUUAUUGCCUAGAUCAACCUAAUAUCUUUCUCUGUUUAAUGCUUCUAUUAUCUUAAAUUUAAAGAGCUUGUUUUAAAUUAUUUAAUGGUUAGAGAUUAGGUGAAGAGCUUGUUUUGCCUAACGACACACUAAGAAAAAAUUGAGACUAACAGAGCUUAUUGUUAUCUACGGUUGAUAGUUUCAAUAUAAAUUUAUGAUAGAAUUGAUAUAUUAUGUGCAUGUUUGGUGGUGGCGAAUGAUCCUUUAACCAAAGUUUUAAUCAUUAUUAUUUCUUUUUCUUUUAAUUAGAGUUUAUUUUAAAUUAUUGUUCGUAGUUUUAAUUUCUUUAUUUCUUACUAUUUAAUUAAAAAUUCAUAAACCCCCCUUUUAUUUAUAAUUGGCAUUUUCUUUAGUUAGAUUAAUUUAUAUUAUUAUUACUAUUAUUAUUACUACUAUUAUUUUAUUUUAAAUCUUGCUUUAGAGUUGAUAAUAAAUAUAACUAGCAUAGUCUCUGUGGGAUCUAUCCUUACUCGCUCUGUACUAAUUAUUUAUAUUAGUGGUAAGGUUUUAAUUUGGUGCACCUUAACGACACUACCAAUGGUUUUUUUUGGUUAUUUUUUACUUUUUACACUUUCAUGAGGUAUAUGUAUGUAAUAGGGUACAAAUUUGGUAUUUAAGGACAAAUGGGGUAUAUUUAAAUAAAAAACCCAUGAGGAGAGGUGGCCAGGGGGGAAAUGAGAGUUUUUUAAGUAAUUGUUAUUCUUUAUUAAUCUAACAACAGUUUCUUAUACAAAGCCAAAGAAAUCCGACUAAAAUAAUAAUUCCUGGUAACAUAAUAACUAACUUAGUAACUAAUCCUUAAUAGAAAAGGAAAUAAUGUAGAAUUGAGACCAAGAAGGGCAUCUCCAAUGCUUAACACUAUUAUGGUGUAAUACUAAUAUAAAAAAUAUAUUUUUUUCACACUAAAUUAUUAUUUCAUCUAUAACACAUUUACACCAAAUUUUACACAAAAAAAAAUCUUCUUUUUAUUCUCAAGAAUUAAUCCAAUUAACACAAUAAAUAUUACUAUUAAUAUAGAUAAUUAAGUAAUGAGUAAUUUUAUAUCGAUUAACAAAAAAAAUAUAUAGAAAAUUAUUAAAUUUUCAUUUAAUUAACUAAAUUAGUACAUUAUGAAAAUUAAACAUUACAUUAAUAUAGAAAAAUACAAUAACAAUAAUACUACUCUAGUUAUUCGAAUUACUAAAUUCAUCCCAUAAAUGAUCAAUUAAUACAUUUCGGAGUGCAAUGUGAGCCUCUUUAUCCUUGAUUUGUUUGUGUCGAACAAGAAAUUCUUAAAAUCUAGUAUUCUCAUCUACCCUCAUAUCAACGAUUGGUAUUGGCGCUUGCAUCCAAUCAUUAAUUGUUGCAUUAACAUCACAUUCAUCUUCGAUGAUCAUAUUGUGCAUAAUAAUGCAAGCAGUUAUUGUUCAAAAAACAUGAUGGUCCAGCAACAAUUGCAAAACAUGAUUGAAGGACUCUGAAAUAUAAGUGUGCAACCCAAGAGGGAGGUGAAUUAGAAUUUUAAAAAUUAUCCUAGCAAAUCCACACAAUAAGCAAUCUAAUGUUUUAAUAAAAAUUGAAAGCAAUAAGUUUAAUAAAAGUACAAUAACUAAUGAGUAAGGGAGAAGAGAAACAAACACUCGAAUUUUUACGUAGUUCGGCAAACCCCGCAUACGUCUACGCCUCCAAGCGAUCCAAGCUUGAGGAUUUCACUAUCCAAGCCUUUCCAAGGCUUCAACCAUUUACAAUUGACUUCAAGGUGUCAAUGAACCUUUACAACAAAGAGAUUAUCUCCCAAUCUCUUCACUCAAGUGUCUCACACACUCAAACUCUUACAAUUGAGAUGAAGAAAUGAAAGUUACAAUGAAACUCACUCAAUGAGUAGAUAUUCAAAAAUGAAGAACAAGAAAUGAUUCAAUGUUUUGUGUUUUGUAAGUUGAAGGCUCAAGAUAUCUCGUGUGCUUUUUGUUUAUGCUUGUUGGAGAGAUUGAAAAUGAGUUGGAUUUGAGUUCUUAUAGUUUGAGCUCAAAAAGUAGCCGUUAUGCACAUUUUGGUCAUAACCGGUUUGCCGUUUAUGGACAUCCAGUUAGCCGCUUAAUGUUACCGUUACAGCCACAAUUUUGAAUUUCUGAACAUUUGGUAUACCGCUUUGUGAAAUCCGGAUAGCCGUUUAUGCUCCAGAAGCUUACUGCCCAACAACCGGAUUACCGUUUGUCAGGAUCCGGUUAGCCGCUUUCAAUUUGAAUAGAUUCUGCCCAAAAUUCGGCUUGCCAGUUUUUCACAUCCGGUUAGCCGCUUGCUACAGUGACUGCUACAGUGAAAUAUUUUCUAAAAUUACAGUUUGAUCCUAAAACUUUAUAAAACUGUAUUAUGACCCAAAAUGUUAUGAAAAUUUACAAAUAGGUCCAAUUUCAGAAUUUUAAAUAAUGCUUUGUCAAUCCCAAAACUUUCUAAAAUUAUGAUUUCACCCAAACCAUGUGAAAUUAUAGAAUGACCUAAAAAUAUUUAAAUAGUUUCAAAUAGGUCCAAAUUUGAAAUUUAAAAUACUAUUAAAGAUUUUAAAAUACUUUCAUUUUAGUCCAAAAUACUUUAAUUCCAUAACAUCAUUUUCUUAUUAUAAAAGCGCAAUUCAUAAAUCUUUGCUUAAUCAAUACAUGUGGCUUGUUAUCAUCAAAAUCAAUAUUUAUAGCCAUAUAGGCUAACAGACUCCAAAUGCACGUUCUACAUCUUUCCGACAUGCUUCUUGUUUCAUAGCAAAUAAUUUCUUUUUAGGACCACGUGGAUCAUGGAUAGUUUGUACAAGAGUAGACCAUUUUGGGUAGAUACCAUCAGCUAAAUAAUAACCCAUAUUAUAUUUGUUCCGUUUAAUGACAUAAAUCGAGCGAAUGUGUUACUGGCACAAGAUAAGAAAUACAAUAAAGGGUUCAAAUUUGAUUAUGUAUGGCCUAUCCUCAAAGAUAUUAAAAAAUUUGGUGAUGAUAAUAGCAUUGCAACACCAUACUUUCAAAGGCAAAGUAGCGAAUUUGUGCCAUCACAAUCAAAUUCUCCCGUUCCGAAGUCUCCAACAUCAACAUCUUCUAGUCUAUCAUCAUUUUCACUAAAUAUAAAUGACGAGCAUGUUAACGAUUGUUCUACUCAACGACCCAUUGGAGUAAAGAAGGCAAAAGGAAAAAGGAAAGUUGAAGAUCAAAAUUCACUAGUUAUUAAUACUAUUAAAGAAGACAAUCGGCAACUUUAUGAAAUUCUUCAAAAGGCAGUGACGAUAGGCAACAAAAUUAUCAAAUUCAAAUGAUACGAGCCCAAAAUGGGAAAACAAAAUUGGAGAUGGUCACAUAUCGUGAAGAAAACAAAAUUUUACUUAAAGAUUUAAAUUCGAUAAGUGAUCCGAGCUUGCGUUAAUAUUUUAAAAAUGAACAAAUUCAGAUUUUGUAGAGAAGAUCUCAGCAAGGCCAAGCAUCUCAAAAUACUUCCAAUAAUAUUGACCAAUAUUUUGAUGAUAUUGGAGGAUCUAAUAAUGAUAUCCCAAAAUAUUAAAUAAUUGUUCUAAUUUAUGCUGCUAGUAGUAGUUUUUUUAAUUUUUGUUAAUUGAACUUUGUAUUUUUAAUUUUGUAAUAUGUAAUCUAGUAAUUAAUGUUAUUGACAUUUUAUUUAUAUUAUUAAUUUUCGUGUUGAAUUUUUUUUAUUUAACAUAUUAGUAUAAUAUUCUAAAAUUAAAAAAUAAAAUAAAAAUAAUAACAAAAAUAAUAAUAAUAACUUAAAAUAUUAUAUAAAAUAAGACAUAUAUGUAAAUAAAAAAAAAUAAAGAUAUUUGAGAUUUUUUAUUCCUAUCACUAAAUGAAUAGUGUUGCACCAUAUUUGGUGCAAUACUAUUCAUAACACCAUUUUAAUGUUUGUUUUGAUAUUACAUUAGAAAAGUAUUUUACACCAAAAAUGGUGUAAAAAUUAAUUUGGUAUUAAUUUUGCUGUCGCAUUGAAAAUGGCCUAACACCAUCAAAAUUCUAUUCGUAUUCAUCGUAACUAAAAAGGAAAAAAAAAGUUAGGUCAUUAUUGAAAAAUAUUAAGUGUGGUGGAAAUUAACCUAAAAUCUUGACUUUUAAUUAGUUAAUUGAUCUUUAAGAAAAUAUACAGAUACGUUUUACACUUUCGGCUAUUAAAAUUAAGGAAAAUUAUCACUGCAUCACCUCUUUUUUGUCUUAUGUUCAUCCAACCACUAAAAAAUUGUAACAUGUUCUCUGUACCACCUUUUUCUUUUUUAAAUUUGUAUCAGCUAGCCACUUUUUAACUAACACCAUUAAAUAAUUUAAAUGAAAUGAUAAUUUUACCCCUAAAUAAAUUAAAAGACCAUUUUAUUUUACAAAAAGUUUGAAAUAGGAAAAUUAUGAUUAUAAAAAUACCUCUAAAUUUAAUAAAAAAAUAAAUCCCAAAAUUAGAAUUUUUAACUGUUGUUCUUUCUGGUGAAAGUUCAUCUUCUCAGAUUGUUCUUCCCAGCCAACACCUUCAAAUAAAACUUCCGAUUGGUAUGAUAAAACCCAUUUUCAAAAUGUUUUAACUCAAACAGAUUUUCUGAUAAAGAGUCGUGCUCAAGUAUUCCUUCCUUAGAAAGGAAAUUUACAAAAAUACCUUCAGUUAUAAAUCUUCCUUAUCAGCUCGUAAGGAGUCAACCGAGGUUUUCCACCUCAGAUAUUCCAAGUUCAUCUAUUCGUUCUGUUGACUAUACCACAAAUGUUCCUCAUCCAAUUUAUACUAGUAGUCAACAUGAACAAAAACAAGAAGAGAAGGAACUUUCUCCUCCAACUUCCCCUACUUUUUCUGCUAUCACAGAAAAUGUCAUAAAUGUUAUUGAAAAGAAUUUUGAGCUUGAUAAAAAUCUUCUUCAUAAUGAUUUUUACUCUGACUUUAAUAAAGAAAAAAGACUUUGGUUUUUUAAGAAUUUUUUAAAUCAAAGGAAAGAAAUCCAACAAAUCUAUUAUGAAUUUGUUAAUCUUCAUCAAGUUCAUAUAUUGUUUUUUGAUUGGUUCGAAAUAUAUUCUUCUGAGAACAACAUUGAAUAUCUUUUUAAAGAGUCAAACCCUAUUACUAUUAGGAAGAAAAUUCCCGAAUGGAAACUUCUUGAUAGCAAUAGAAUCAUAAAGUCUGAACACCCACCUCUUCGAAGUGUAACCAUUGAUCAUGGAGAACCUCCUGUCCAAAUCAGAGCUUCACCUUACAAAAUUCCAAAGCCAAAUGAUUCUGAAGCCAAUUUAAGUAGUAUUAUCCAACAGAAUAAUUUCUGUAAUACCAAAUUAAAUACAAUCGGAAAGCAGUUGACUAGGAUAGAAAACCAAUUCCAAAAGUCAACCAUUACUGUUUCUUUGAUUCCACCAAAAUCGGAUUCUGACAAAAAGCUUAAGGAACCUAUUUUCAAACCUUUUCAGGUUUCGAAAACUAGCCAAAAGCUUGUUCAAUAGUCAAAAUCAGAUUUUGCUAAAGCCAUUAGAGAACAACUAGAUAGGAUAGAAGUUGCUUCUUCCUCAUCUAGCAAAGUUCAGAUAGCCCCUGAUACUCCUCAAUCUAGCAAGAUUGGAGUAUUAGAACAAGACCAAAUGUCUAUAGCCUCUUUUGAUAUAGAAGCCUUCAAAGAAGAACCUUCUACUCCUAAAGCCAACAAAAUUCAUUGGGAAUUAGCCCUUCCCACUGUCAAGACUCCACCAGAUCUAGCAAUAGAUAAUAGACCAAGUGCAUUAAAUCAAUCCCGAUACAAUGCAUCUUCAGUCUAUGAGUGGAAUAUUGACGGUAUGUCCGAAUACAAUAUCCUAGGAUUGUUGCAACAAAUGACAAUGGCAGCCAAUGCCUAUAAAACCCAAGCAGGAACUUCUGAUCGUGCCAUAUCAGAAAUCCUCAUUGCCGGUUUUACUGGUCAACUAAAAGGUUGGUGGGAUCAUCUUCUCACUAAUCAGCAACAAUUAGACAUUUUAAAUUCCAUUCAAGUCGAUGAAAAUGGAGCCCCUAUUCUUGAUGAGUUCAACAAUCCAAUCCAAGAUGCUGUUGCUACUCUAAUUUUAACUAUUUCCCUCCAUUUCAUUGGUGACCCUUCACACCUUCGAGAUAAAAACGCUGAGUUACUACAUAAUUUAAGAUGUAGGAAACUUAGUGAAUUUCAAAGUUACAAAACCUCAUUUUUUAGCAGACUAUUUCUAAGAGAUGAUGCAAAUCAUAUAACUUGGAAAGAAAAAUUUCUUGCUGGAUUACCUACCCUUUUAGGUGAAAAGGUAAGAAAUUCCAUCAAAACCCUUUAUGAUAACCGUAUUCCUUAUGAUGAGCUCACCUACGGUGAACUUGUCAGUUUUGUCAAUAAAGAAGGUUUAAAGAUUUGUCAAGAUUUGAAAUUACAGAAACGACUUAAGUGGGAGCUUAAGAAGUCUAAACAAGAAUUAGGCGGUUUCUGUAAACAAUUCAAUUAUGACCCUUUUAAAACUUCUAUCUCCAAAGAUUGUAAUGGUGAGUGCUCUACUAAACCUCGUAGGAAACAUUACAAAUCUAAAAAUUUUAGGAAACCCUUUCGUAAUUUUAGAGAACUUCCUUAUAAGAAACCUUCGAGGCCUUAUAAGAAACCCAAAUUCUCUAAAAAAGAGUUUAAAGCCAAACCUAACACUCCUUUCAAUUACAGAGAAGCUAUAUGUCACAAGUGUGGCAUAAAAGGUCAUACUGCAAAAUAUUGCAGAAUGAACUAAAAACUUCAUGAGCUUGACCUUGAUGAUGAGAUCCUUUCUAAAUUAGCCCCUCUUUUUAUCGAGUCUUCUGAUUCCGAGUCUUCUAUGUCAGGAGACAGUGAUCCAUAUCAAGUUGACGAGCUAUUUGACUCAGAUGACUCUGCAUCUAGCAAUAGUGAAUCUGAAUCUGAUUCAUUUUUAAAGAAAAUCAAUGUUUUGACUAAAGACCAAGAAACUUUUCUUGAACUUGUAAAGCAUAUUUCUGAUCCGAAUCUUCAAAAAGAAUAUCUUGAUAAACUUUUAAAAACUUUGGAUUUUAAUAAAGCCGAAACUUCUAAAGUCCCAAUUGUUAAAAAAAAUUCUUAUGAUCUUACUCAUAUUUUGGAUAAAAAGAAAACAAAGAAGUCAACACCCACAAUUCAAGAUAUUCAAAAAGAAAUCAAAGACAUUAAACUUGAAAUAAAAGAUUUAAAAGAAAAACAAAAAAGUGAUUCUGAAACUAUCCAACUCCUUUUACAAAAGCAUUUACAGGAUAGCUCAGAUAAUGAGUCAAAUCCUAAUGAUGGUGAUAAUAUUGACCAGAAUUUAGAAAACAUUGAGUUUGUACCAAAUAAUUUUCUAUUUGCUUUAAAACAGAUCACCAUGAGAAAGUAUUUGAUUAAAAUUACUUUGAUUUUUUCCGAUGAUUUUGCAAUUGACGCCAUUGCCCUUUUUGACACUGGUGCCGAUUUAAAUUGCAUAAGAGAGGACAUUGUCCCCAAAAGAUUUCAUGAGAAAAUAAAAGAAAGACUUUCUGCCGCCAACAAUUCAAAGCUUAAUGUAAAUUCUAAAGUCGAAGCUUCAAUUCAUAACAAUGGUUUUGAAUUUAAAACUUCUUUUGUUCUUACAAAUGACAUACAUCAUGCUGUCAUUUUAGGAACCCCUUUUAUAAAUCUUAUCACUCCUUAUACUGUCAAUUAUGAUAGUAUAUCUUUUAAAGCAAAAGACAAAAGGUUUGUUUUCCCGUUUAUUGAAAAGCCAAAAACAAGAUAUUUGAAUAUUGUUAAAGCAUGUUCUGUCUAUCAGAAUCAAAUCAACAAUCUUCUCCGAUCCAGACAAAGUGAUUUAAUGUUUUUACCAAAGGAUUUAAGUUUAAAAAGAAUAGAAAGCCAAUUACAAAAUGAUUUCAUCCAAAAGAAAAUCUCUGAUUGUAAAGAUCUAAUUGAAAAAGAAAUUUGUGCCGAUCUACCUUCAGCCUUUUGGAAUAGGAAACAACAUUUGGUAGAUUUGCCUUACGAGAAUUCUUUUGAUGAAAAACAGAUACCUACUAAAGCUCGUCCAAUCCAAAUGAAUAUGGAUUUGGAACAACAUUGUAGAACUGAAAUAAAAGCCUUGGAGUCUAAAGGACUCAUUGUAAAAUCUAAAUACCCAUGGUCUUGUGCCGCUUUUUAUGUAAACAAAAAUUCUGAAAUUGAAAGAGGAAUACCAAGAUUAGUCAUAAAUUAUAAACCCCUUAAUAAAGCAUUAAAAUGGAUUAGGUACCUAAUACCUAACAAAAAAGAUUUGCUUCAAAAACUGCAUUUUGCUUUCAUAUUUUUCAAAUUUGACAUGAAAUCGGGUUUUUGGCAAAUUCAAAUUCAUCCAAAAGAUCGUUAUAAAACCGCUUUUAUUGUUCCUUUUAGACAGUAUGAGUGGACUGUUAUGCCAUUUGGGUUGAAAAAUGUGCCUUCAGAAUUUCAAAGAAUUAUGAAUGACAUUUAUAACCCUUAUUCUGAUUUUUGCAUUGUUUAUAUCGAUGAUGUUUUGAUUUUUUCUCAAACCAUCGACCAACAUUUUAAACAUCUAAAGACCUUUUACCUUGCUACCAGAAAAGCUGGUUUAGCAAUCUCUAAGUCUAAAGUCUCUUUGUUUCAUACAAAGAUCAGGUUCCUAGGUCACCAUAUUUCCAAAGGAACCAUUACCCCUAUUGAGCGUUCUCUUGCUUUUACAGACAAGUUUCCUGAUAAAAUCCUUGAUAAAACUCAAUUACAAAGAUUUCUAGGAAGUCUAAAUUAUGUUCUUGAUUUCUGUCCAAAUAUCAAUAGGAUGUCCAAACCUUUGCAUGAUAGGUUAAAAAAGAAUCCUGUUGCCUGGACCGAUGAGCAUACUAAAGUAGUUAGACUUAUAAAGAAUUCUGUAAAAAGCAUCCCAUGUUUAUUUCUUGCAAAUCCCGCAUUACCUAAAAUUAUUGAAACUGAUGCAUCUGAUUUAGAUUAUGGAGGAAUAUUAAAGCAAAAAGAUAAUGAUAAGGAACAGAUAGUUCAGUAUGUUUCUGCACAUUUGAAUGAAUGCCAAAAGAAUUAUUCAACCAUCAAAAAAGAAAUUCUUUCAAUUGUUUUAUGCAUUUUAAAAUUCCAACAUGAUUUAUUAAGUAAAAAAUUUCUACUUAGAAUCGAUUGCAAAGCUGCAAAACACGUUUUAGAAAAAGAUGUUCAAAACAUUACAUCAAAAUAAAUUUUUGCACGAUGGCAAGCCAUUUUAAGUGUUUUUUAUUUUGAUAUUGAGUUCAUUAAAGGAGAUACAAAUUUUAUUCCUGAUUUUCUAACUAGAGAAUUUUUGCAAAGCAGAUAAUACCGCCGAAGAAAAAAGACAAAGAUAAAGCUGUUCUCAAAGAUACCGAACCUACAAAAACCUCCAAAGAACCUCAAUCUACUCCCUCUAAAGAAAAAUUACUUUCUUCAGCCAUACCUAUUAAAUCCUGGAUUGAAUUGGUUGGAGAAAAUCAAGGAACCCAGUACAAAUCCAUCUCCUCUGAACAACAAGUCAAAGAGUGGAUGGAAUCUAUUACAAAGUCCCCUGAGCUUAUGCUUUCCUUACAAGGCAUCUCAAAAUCUAAAGCCCUUUCUCAGAUCCCUGAGGAAGAAAAACCAAUUUCUAAAGAAAUUACAAAGUCUUCUUCCCAAAGCCAAACUGUUGUUCUUUCUGGUGAAAGUUCAUCUUCUCAGAUUGUUCUUUCCCAGCCAACACCUUCAAAUAAAACUUCUGAUUGGUAUGAUAAAACCCAUUUUCAAAAUGUUUUAACUAUGGAAGAUGGAUUUUACCACACUGAUCCUUUCCAAGCAAUCUCAAAGUUUUUUCCUAAAGGCUGAUUUUUCAAACCAUGGGAUUUAACAAAACCCCAGCCUUAUUAUCAAAGCAUUUUAGAAGCCAUUGAGUCUGUAAAAUUUAAACAUUUCUUUCUCAGUGAAACCCAUUCAGAGCCGGCCUACUCCACGGCCACUAUUUUAAAAGUUUUAAGCCCAAACCAGUGGGGUGACCAACUCCACAAAUUCAAAACUUUCCCUCCAAGUUUUCAAAUGCGUUUACCACAUUGCCUGGCCUAUUCCUAUUGGGACUACCAGCAAGCUUGGUUCAACACAUUUUUCUUACAAAACCCAAAAAAGUCCCAUUCAUGGUUAUUUUUCUUCAAUUCAAAAAUAACCGUCCAAAGUCUUCCAAAUUGGUUCCAACAAUGGUGGAAUUUUUUUGGUCCAACACCACAAAUCCUAACUCCAAAUGCCACUCAUUGUUUAAACCUUUUCAAAACCCAUUAUUCCCCUUCGGAUUCAGAGAAACGGUUUUCUCCCUUCCUCUGUUUUUGUACCAAUUUCUUCCUCCCAUGGGUAUGGAUGUGGAAUUUCAGAUUUCAUACUCAUGAAAAACAACUCAUCAUACAAAGAACUUUCAAAGUCAAGUGGUGGUCAAAAUUCGAUGAACAAACCAAAUUGACUGAAUCCCUCAUCAAAAAUUGGCUUUGUUCAAAAGGCUUUCUACCACAAACCAUUAAAGACUCCAAAGUCCAACAAACCUUCCUAACCCAAAAAUCCAAAGGCCAAUCUCUCCUGGCUAGUGCCAAAACUGAAGAUGAAUACUUCAAAGUCAUGGAACAACUCCUCACCUCCAGAUCAAAGUCUUCAGUAGCUGACACCUCUGAAGAAGAAGAAGAAGAUGAAGAGCCAUUUGAUGAAGAACCAUUCAUUUCUCUUGGAGACAAUAAUGAAGAUGACUGUUUUGGAAUUUUCUCUCCAGUAAAGCAUUGUAAAUAAUUAUUUGAUUAUUUACUUAAAAAAAUGAUAUUCGGGUGGUCCCCUGGACACAAGAGAGAGCGCACAUGUCUCUUCACUCGGGGUGUAUUUUGUAUUUUGUACAAAGCAACAGCACCGCUACAGUGCCAAUUUCCAAAGUUUACUGUGCACUUAAAACUCCGCUACAGUGAACAGUUUAAAAUGUUUCUAUAAAAACCAAGAGGAAGACUUAGACUCCUCAGGUUUUUCAUUUCUCUUCUUCACUCCCUUCUCUCUAAAAAACUUCUUCUCUCUUCUUCUUCCCUUACUACUCUCUCUCUCUCUCUUCUUUCUCUCUUGAGAAAAAAGAAGUUUUCUGUAUUCAAGGAAUUUUCCUAUCAUCGGUUAAGUUUCUUGUUUUCAGAAUUUUUCUGGAAUCUCUCUUGUAAUCUCUUAAAGCUGUCGGAUCAAAAGAAAUAAAUGUAAAUAUUUUUAAAGCAAGUUUAAAUUUCCGCACUUUAAAUUUCUGCAAUUUAAUUUUAUGUACAUUUAAAUUUCCGCACUUUAAAUUUCUGCAAUUUAAUUUUAUGUACAUUUAAAUUUUCGUAAUUUAUUUUAAAGCAAUUUUAAUUUUAUGCAUGCAUUGCAGACUGAUCCGUAUCAGAUCUGCCAUAAAAUUUGUACAUUCCUCUGAGGCAAAGAGACCAGAUCUCGAUCCUCAGUUGUAAAUUUUCUUUUCUCCCUCCAUUCCCUCAGAGCACCAUUUCUGGAAACCGAAUCUGGUACUGUGUAUGCACCCAAGCCUUUUAGAUGAAUGUUUGUUGCUAGGCUUGCUAAAGAAUUUAAUAAAGAUUUGGUAAAUUUUAUAAAAGCAGACCAACCGCGAUUAAAGAACCUAAUCUAUAUUUGGUAAAGCAAAAUUGAUUUGGUAUAUCAGCUGGACACUCGAGGAUGCGGACUACUGGUCCAAAGCGCUAUUAAAAAUCAGCUUUAAAAUAGUUAAGCCGGAGCCAUUCCUCAGAUAACAACGCUACGUACCAUAUCAAGUCUAAAGUUUGAUCAACCGCGUUCCAAAGCAGAUCUAUCCAUUUAUUUUCAAAGAAUCUAAUAACCAAACUCGGUAAAGCUAUUUAAAAAGAACCAACUGCGAUCCAACUUGUUUUAUUAAAUAUCUUGUAAUCUCUUUGAUUUCUUUUUGAAUAUCUUGAAUUGUGGGUGUUGACUUCUUUGUUUUCUUUUUAUCCAAAAUAUGAGUAAGAUCAUAAGAUUUUUUUUUAAUAAUUGGGACUUUAGAAGUUUCGGCUUUAUUAAAAUCCAAAGUUUUUAAAAGUUUAUCAAGAUAUUCUUUUUGAAGAUUCGGAUCAGAAAUAUGCUUUACAAGUUCAAGAAAAGUUUCUUGGUCUUUAGUCAAAACAUUGAUUUUCUUUAAAAAUGAAUCAGAUUUAGAUUCAUUACUACUAGAUGCAGAGUCAUCUGAGUCAAAUAGCUCGUCAACUUGAUAUGGAUCACUGUCUCCUGACAUAGAAGACUCGGAAUCAGAAGACUCGAUAAGAAGAGGGGCUAAUUUAGAAAGGAUCUCAUCAUCAAGGUCAAGCUCAUGAAGUUUUUUGUUCAUUCUGCAAUAUUUUGCAGUAUGACCUUUUAUGCCACACUUGUGACAUAUAGCUUCUCUGUAAUUGAAAGGAGUGUUAGGUUUGGCUUUAAACUCUUUUUUAGAGAAUUUGGGUUUCUUAUAAGGCUUCGAAGGUUUCUUAUAAGGAAGUUCUCUAAAAUUACGAAAGGGUUUCCUAAAAUUUUUAGAUUUGUAAUGUUUCCUGCGAGAUUUAGUAGAACACUCACCAUUACAAUCUUUGGAGAUAGAAGUUUUAAAGGGGUCAUAAUUGAAUUGUUUACAGAAACCGCCUAAUUCUUGUUUAGACUUCUUAAGCUCCCACUUAAGUCGUUUCUGUAAUUUCAAAUCUUGACAAAUCUUUAAACCUUCUUUAUUGAAAAAACUGACAAGUUCACCGUAAGUGAGCUCAUCAUAAGGAAUACGGUUAUCAUAAAGGGUUUUGAUGGAAUUUCUUACCUUUUCACCUAAAAGGGUAGGUAAUCCAGCAAGGAAUUUUUCUUUCCAAGUUAUAUGAUUUGUAUCAUCUCUUAGAAAUAGUCUGCUAAAAAAUGAGGUUUUGUAACUUUGAAAUUCACUAAGUUUCCUACAUCUUAAAUUAUGUAGUAACUCAACGUUUUUAUCUCCAAGGUGUGAAGGGUCACCAAUGAAAUGAAGGGAAAUAGUUAAAAUUAGAGUAGCAAUAGCAUCCUAGAUUGGAUUGUUGAACUCAUCAAGAAUAGGGACUCCAUUUUCAUCGACUUGAAUGGAAUUUAAAAUGUCUAAUUGUUGCUGAUUAGUGAGAAGAUGAUCCCAUCAACCUUUUAGUUGACCAGUAAAACCGGCAAUGAGGAUUUCUGAUAUGGCACGAUCAGAAGUUCCUGAUUGGGUUUUAUAGGCAUUGGCUGCCAUUGUCAUUUGUUGCAACAAUCAUAGGAUAUUGUAUUCGGACAUACUGUCAAUAUUCCACUCAUAGACUGAAGAUGCAUUGUAUCGGGAUUGAUUUAAUGCACUUGGUCUAUUAUCUAUUGCUAGAUCCGGUGGAGUCUUGACAGUGGGAAUGGCUAAUUCCCAAUGAAUUUUGUUGGCUUUAGGAGUAGAAGGUUCUUCUUUGAAGGCUUCUAUAUCAAAAGAGGCUAUAGACAUUUGGUCUUGUUCUAAUACUCCAAUCUUGCUAGAUUGAGAAGUAUCAGGGGCUAUCUGAACUUUGCUAGAUGAGGAAGAAGCAGCUUCUAUCCUAUCUAGUUGUUCUCUAAUGGCUUUAGCAAAAUCUGAUUUUGACUCUUGAACAAGCUUUUGGCUAGUUUUCGAAACCUGAAAAGGUUUGAAAAUAGGUUCCUUAACCUUUUUGUCAGAAUCCGAUUUUGGUGGAAUCGAAGAAACAGUAAUGGUUGACUUUUGGAAUUGGUUUUCUAUCCUAGUCAACUGCUUUCCGAUUGUAUUUAAGUUGGUAUUACAGAAAUUAUUUUGUUGGAUAAUACUACUUAAAUUGGCUUCAGAAUCAUUUGGCUUUGGAAUUUUGUAAGGUGAAGCUCUGAUUUGGACAGGAGGUUCUCCAUGAUCAAUGGUUACACUCCGAAGAGGUGGGUGUUCAGACUCUAUGAUUCUAUUGCUAUCAAGAAGUUUCCAUUCGGGAAUUUUCUUCCGAAUAGUAAUAGGGUUUGACUCUUUAAAAGAAUAUUCAAUGUUGUUCUCAGAAGAAUAUAUUUCGAACCAAUUAAAAAACAAUAUAUGAACUUGAUGAAGAUUAACAAAUUCAUAAUAGAUUUGUUGGAUUUCUUUCCUUUGAUUUAAAAAAUUCUUAAAAAAUCAAAGUCUUUUUUCUUUAUUAAAGUCAGAGUAAAAAUCAUUAUGAAAAAUAUUUUUAUCAAGCUCAAAAUUCUUUUCAAUAACAUUUAUGACAUUUUCUGUGAUAGCAGAAAAAGUAGGAGAAGUUGGAGGAGAAAGUUCAUUCUCUUCUUGUUUUUGUUCAUGUUGACUACUAGCAUAAAUUGGAUAAUGAACAUUUGUGGUAUAGUCAACAGAACGAAUAGAUGAACUUGGAAUAUCUGAGGUGGAAAACCUUUAAUAAAAAUCUAAAUAAAAAUUAUAAUUAUAAAAAUAGUUACAAAAUUUUGAGAUUUAAAUAAAUAAAUUCAGUUAUUUUAAUAAAAUUUUGUAAAAUUAUAAUUUUUAAUAAAUAAAUUCAGUCAUUUUUAUUAAAAUUUUACAAAAUUAUAAUUUUUUAAUAAACAUAUUUAUUAAAAUUUUGUAAAAUCUAAAUUAAACAAAAAUCAGCUGAGCACAUUUGUUUGUGAUUUAUUGUUUAUUAAAUUUAGGGGUAUUUUUAUAAUUAUAAUUUUCUUAUUUUUCAAAAUUUUUUUCAUUUAAUUUAAAUUAUUUAACAAUAUUAGUUAAAAAGUGACUAGUUAAUACAAAUUGAAAAAAAAAAGUGAUGCAUAAAAUAUGUUAAAAUUCUUUAGUAGUUGGAUGAACAUAAGCCAAAAUAUAAGUGGUGCAGUGAUAAUUUCUCUAAAAUUAAUGAAGAAAUAAUGACAUUUGAGGUAAUAUAAAAUUUUCAUAUUUUUAAAAGAUAAAUUAAGGUGCCAUAUUUACCCAAACAUAAAUAAUAAAUUCAUGAUUAGUCAGAAACAAUAAGAAACUCAUCAAUACAAAAAUAAUAAUCAUAAUUGCAAAUAAAGUUUUUAAUUUUUUUAAUUGAAAUCUUUAGUAUUUUUAAGACUGAACAGCUCAUUUACUCCGUAGAAAAGUUUUAUACUGAAAUGAACAAAUUGAAAAAUCCAUGCCGUUUUAAAAUGUUCAACCGAGAUUAAAAGUUUAAAACCAAGAUUCAUAUUCCAACCGAAUAUUUUUUGUAAUCUAUUAAUAUAAAAUAUACAACAAUAACGGCUUCCUACCAUUGCUUCUGUAAAGCUACCAGGAAUCACAAUUAUGGAUACAAAAAGGGGAUUACACAACCAACAAAUCUUUCCAAUUUUUUUACCAAGGACAUAUCCCCACUGAAUUUACAGAACCUGGAAACUCCAACAUACGCUUUUCUUUUUCCUUUAAAGAAAAAAAAAUAAUCUAGUAUUCUGGCAUUCUCAGGCUAAUAAACAACGGUAAUCUGACAAAAGUGUUUACCUAGGUAUUCCGAGAUUGAAUACCAGCUUCAGCCUCUGAUAAGCUCUCAUGAUACUCAUCUAUUAAGUAGUCACAAAGUUCCAGAAGCUGAUCUGCAAGGGGGGGAAUAGCAGGAUGGCGUCCAUCGUUGUACUUAUGGGCAUUAAAGGCAAUUUGCCAUACAUCGUGUCUAAAAUCCUCUCGGUCCUUGUACUCCAUCCGCCUCACCUUACCCCUGAUUGUGGACAAAUCCAUGGGGCGCUCUAUGAUAUCCAGGUAAUCAGGAGCUUCUUUCUUGGCCACUGGUUUAAGGAAGAGAUAUGACAACUCAGUAUUUUCUCGGAGGGUCUCUACAAUGCGCUCUAAUAUGUUCGACAGACCAACCUGUAAGAUAAUUGAUUAGGAAAUUCAAACAAAACAAGUCCCAGUCCUUAAUUGAUAUAACACUUAAAGGAGAAAUGCAACAAACCCAACUCAACAAUUAGACAUAACAAUCAAUAAAGCCCUUCAAACUUAUUCCCCUUUUCAACAUAAAAGGAACUACCCAGGAGCCUUUAAUUUGAUUUUUUAACUACCUGUAUGCUUGUCCUUUUGAACCACAACCACCCCAUACAAAACCUAAUAGUAAGUUUUCAAUCUUAGUCCAAUUUACUUUAUUAAGUAGAUAUAGAAAUAUUAUCAAUGGUUGAAAAAUAACGAGGUAUAAUGUGCUCAAUAUGAAAGCACAUAUGAUGAAAUCAAGGAUAGAGAUAAGAUAGUGCAUACCUCUCCCCCUCUGCGUCGCUUUGUUGGAGGUCCAUAAUCUGCACUGUGCUUUCCCAACUCUGCGCCAGGUUUCCUCUUUGCACCUCGAUCUCUUUCUGGCAUCCUUCUAUCAUUUCUUUUAGCCCUGUAGUCCUGUAAAUAAUCAUCUCCUAUUUCAGGUUUUUUCUUCUUUUUCUUCUUCUUUGCCUUUUGGAGGAGUUCUUCCUC